rnacentral:lncRNA from 1 species
GAGAGAGGAGAGAGAGAGAGAGAUAGAGAGAGAGAGAGAGUUGAGCUAGAAUAUUAUCGAUAGCAAACGAGCUACGUUGUCAUUCAUUUGUUUUUUAUGAUGGAGCCUCCAAAUCGACGAUCGGUACCGUUGAACAUGAUCUAUACCACUUGAAGUGUUUAGAAAUCAAAUUUCAUAUAUUUUCGAUAUUAUUCUUUUAUUUAUCGAGUGGACACAAAAUGAGCAGUUAAAAAUAAAUAUUCUAUAAAAAAUGAUGAUAGGAGUCUUGUAAUCAAGAUCAAGAGUAUAGAUCUUGUUUUAAAUAGUUUCAAGAAUUUUCUAACAAAAAUUUAAUUGAUUUGGAUAUCUUUACACCGUUAAACGAGAAAACGCCUUAUAUCGAUCAUUAAAAUUACAAAUUUUGAAAUCCUUUAAUCAUUAGGUAAAUGAUGUCGAAAAGAUUUGAAAUUUGAUUUCUAAACACUUCAAGUGGUAUAGAUCAUGUUCAACGAUGCCGAUCGUCAAUUUAGAGGCUUUAUCAUCGAAAACAAAUAGAUGACAAUAGAACUCGUUUGCUAUCGAUAGUAUUCUAGCUCAACUCUCUUUCUAUAUAUACAUAUAUAUUUCAAGUGAUGAGAAUUUAAGAAUUUAUUUUAAUCCAUGGAAAGAUCCUAGUAGCCAUUAUUUCAACGUAUGAUACACUUCAACUUACAUAAUAAUUUAUCUUUUUUCUAAAAAAAUAACUUAGAAAUACUUAAUCAUAAUCCUUAUUUAUUAAUAAAAGGCUUUUGAGUAAACAAAAUAACUAAUCACUGUAUCCUUAUAAAAUAUUCAUGCAUUUAAAUAGACUUUAGAAUAUGAAAAAGAGCUGGUGAUUAAUUAUCUCACACCAAUGAACUAAAGUUGUACUCAAGUUGCUUGGAAAAUAAUAUUUAUGUAACAAUAUAUAUAUUAUAUAUAAUAAAUAUACAAUUAAUGUAAUGAGAUGCCCUAAUUAUUGUACUAAUGGUUAGGAAUCGUAUCACGAAAAUCAAAGGAAACCCCAUCAAUGCCCCCCAUUUUUGCUAGUGACAAAGCCCAAGGAUCAUUAUUAUUUUUUUUUAUGGCUAAAAAGAUAUGUACGGACCACUAACUACAUGUCCACGUAACCUCCCCCAAAAGGGCUCUUUGUAGGAGCCGUAGCCCUUUUAAAGCUCAUGCUCACCUACUCACAAACAUAAAAAAAAAAAAAAAAAAAAAAAAGGCAAUAGGGGUGGAUAUUUACUAAUAACACCUCCUCAACUUUGCGCGUUUUUGAAAUAGGCCCCUCCACUUUUACUUUGGUAACUUUCAACUUUUCUGAUUUUGAGUUGUUUAAAUAAGUCGAGUUGAAAAUUUUAUUAAACUAAUCAGACCUAUUUACAUCCAAUACUUUUCUCGUGUUUGUAUAUACUGAGAGAUUAAACCAGUAGUAAGGAGUACAACUGGUUGAAUUAUCGUACUUUACAACCACGUUGUCUCUAAAAAUUUAAGCUGCGAAGAAAAAUACUUAAUAUUUUAUACUCAACAUUAUAAACGCACUAUUAGCUAGCUGGUGUAAUAUAAUUUGCAAUUUAAUCAAUAAAAACUUUACUAAAUUGUAAUAAGACAUAAAGUUUGGAAAUGUGUCAAUUGAAAAAGAGAAGGAAGAUAAAAGAUAAAGUUAUUGAGGGUUUCCAUAGAUUUUCACCACUAAAAAAAAAAAACAAGCUUAAAAAGGUGAAUCUAUGAGCCAAGUAAUUUUAUAUAUAUCUUGCUAUUAUAGGGCUAUUAGUGGAUGGACAGGUGGUGUUUGUUCCUUUGAUGUAGCCUAUGGCCUCUCACCACAUUAAUACUUCAUAGUUGCCUCUUUAUCCAUGCUUUAGGUUUAAUGGUCCCCUAUUAUCAUUAAUUUAUUCCAUUUGAUGCUUGUUUUGGAAUGCCACUUCACUAAGCAUGCACUAUUUUAUUCAUUUUAUUAUUAUUCUAUGAUUUUAAUAUUAUUCUACGCGCGCUCCGAUUGCCUCGACGGCCUGUGCGACCGACACCUGUACUCCGUGAAGCAUGGAUGUGACGAAUAAAUUAAGAAGUGGUGAUCACUAGCUAAGAGGAAAAUUUGAACUACGACUUUGGUUUGGGGGGGGCGGGGCGGGGUUGUCGCGAAAGACAAUGGACCUCGAGACGAGCUUUUCGAAUGAUCGAUACGGACAGCGGGAUAUCGUGUACUUAACUUCGAAGGGUUAAUCGAUCGGUUCGUCCGUCUCUUUCCGCUCAAUUCUAAACUUUUGAGUGUUGAUCGAUCGUAAUCGGGCUGCUGAUUUUAAAUUACGAGGGCGCGAUGAGCUUUGAGUGUUUUUUUUUAAAAAAAAAAUAAAAAUCAAAGGUUGCUUAAGGACUACAUUAGCUUGAGCAAAAUUAGUAGCAAUGUUAUUCAUUUUUAACUUGGAUACGCCACAAUAAACAAAUACCAAAGAGGAAAGGAACUUUUAGAGGGGACCAUCUCCUUUUUGGGUCCAAAAACAUUCUAAAGAGAAUGCAUGUAAAAAGGAGUGUGUCAUUGUUUCUAGAAGAGGAUAGAUCCUCUUGUUUCAUUUGCUUAUUCAAACAAUCAAUUUAUCUUUUUUACUCCCAAAAGAGAACUUAUGUUUGAUUUCAUUUGCGCGCUAAUAAGCCGUCGAGACGUGUGCAAUUACGAGAUACGUUUCCAAAAGAUAAAUCAGCAUCGAAAGUAGCGGUGCUUAUUCGGCUUAGCUAGUUUCUGAAUCAGCUUAUGUAUUCAAGAAAAAAAAAAAAAAAAAGCUCAGAUGUUUGAUAAACAAAGUAUCGAGUUUUUCUGUGAUAGGUCCCAAAAGUAUUUAGAAUUAAAUAACAAAAUGUUAGCUGUGGUAUAUAGUACUUGAGUAAUUGCUCUGGUUGGACUAAACAAGCUCGUAAUCUAUUAUUAAGGGCUAAUCUACAUACAACACAUAGCAUUUUGGGAUUGUUAGCUAGAUUAAUUAACAUAUGAAAUAAAUGGUACUGCGUAAUACACGCGUCGCACUUUGAUUGGCUAAAGAGUUCUAUGGUAUUUAAGUUCAAAAUGGCUUUGUCCUAAAAUCAAAAGGAGAUUGGACUACUUUUCAUUAACAGUGUGAGUUUUUUUUUUAAUUUAAUUUUAUUCUCAAGCUUCUACAAAAGCUCUCUAAAGUAGAGAUUAAAACACAGGUGCCAUGCUCGAAUCCAGAACCUUUUGGACCCCAUGAUGAGGUGUCAAUAUAUGAAUAGUGUUGAAAUGAAUUUAAAAAUCACAGUAUAAGACAAUAAUUAAGAGGGUAUUUUAACGUACACGCAUAAACACGUACUGGACUAAAAAAAUUUGGAACGAAAGCAUAUACAAAUAUUACUUUCUAUUUUUUAGUAAAACCAUAUAAAUUAUAUCUUAAGUAGAUUAGAGUGAUCUGUGCAGUUUUUUAUCAUCGCUUAUGAAAUAAACAGAAUUUUUUUUUUUUUAUCACAACUUGUCGUUACACAUAACGUACUUCGAAGCUAUACUUUAAAAAUUCACCCAUCAAAAUCCACAUUGAAUCACUGUCUAUAUGAAAGGGCACAAUUUAAGCUUAGCUUUUUGAGGGAAUAAUAGCAUAAUUUGCACUUUGUGAAGGGCAUGAAUAUAGGUAUGCAACUCAUCACAAAUUCACCUGGAAAAGUUGAUUUAUGAAAAGAGAGCUUUUUUAAAAAAAUUUUUUGCUUAUCUUACUUGUUAUCAGGCUUUACACUUUGCAAAGAAGGACAUAAUUUAUUGUCAAAAAUUGAUAGUGGAUCAAUGAUAUGAAGCAAAAUGAUUAAUUGUUGUAUUAACUUUUGCUUCUAAAUGAAAUCAACGAAGCGAGCAGCGUGCUACCUAUCUCUAAAAUAAAAAUAAAAAAAAAAAAAAAAAAAAAAAAAAAAAAAAAAAAAAACUUUUGCUUCUCAGAUUUGAUAGCUGUGAUGGGGAGAAUUAUUAAGAGGAUCAGUUUAGGAAAACCAAUUAAGCAACCAUCAAACUCACUAUUUUGACAGCAAUUUGGUAAGUGAGCGACGCGGAUCUAAUCCAAAAACUUAAGUUACUAGACGAAGAAACUCUUUUAUAUAGGCGUGUUUGGUUCGCUCCUGUUUUCCUCUAAAAUUGAAAUUGAAAUAGAUGAAUUCGUUUGUCCGUAUUUGAUAUACAAGAUUUUCAUUCCGAUUCCGAUUCCCGGGUGAAUGAGAAUCCCCCACUUACUCCUUUUUCCAAUUCGGGCUAAGAGGUCGGAUUGGAAAUUAAAUCCAGGGGAUUGGAUUUGUUUGGAUUAAAUUUAACUUUUUAAGCUUAUUAUUUUUUAACUCAAAUAUAAGUUUAAAUUUAAAAAUUAUGUUUAUAAAUUUUAAUUUUAAUUUGAACUUAAAUUAAAAAUUAAAAUUCAAUCAAGCACUUCAAAUCUAAUUUAUAAAUUUGAAUUUAAAGUUAAAUUUAAUUUAAAAUCCAAAGUUUUAUUCAAAUUUUAUUUAAAAUUUAAAUUAAAUUUAUGGAUUCAAAUUGAAAUUUAUUAUAAUUUUAAGUUUGGAUUUGAAUAAAUCGAAAUUUAGUUUUAUAUUUUGAAUUAUUGGUUCAAUUUCAAAUUUUAAUUUUUUCAAAAAAAUAUAUUUAAAAUUUUGACAUAAAUUUUUAGUGUUUAAUUUUUAGUUUGAAUUUAAACUAAUAUAUCAUAAAGAUAAAAUUGACAUAUUAAUUUGGUUACGUUUCUGAUAUCUAUCCGAAUCAAUUAAACACUGAUAAUGGAAAUGGUUCAUUGCGAUUCCAAUUCAGAUAGCGAACCAAACAGAAUGAAAUAAUGAAUAAUUUCGAUUCCGUUUUCAGUUUUUUCUCAUUUCAAUUCUGAUAGCGAUUCCGACUUCGAACCAAACACACCCAUAUUUUCUAUGUUAUGUAUGUACAUUAUCUCCAGUUAACUUCAUUCUCAGUCUAAUGGGAAAAAAAAGGGAUGGCAAUUUUGGAAAAAGUUGAAAUUUUUAGGAGGCACAUUUGAAAGAGUUUUUUUUUUUUUUUUUCCUAGAGUUAACUGCUACUUUUGACAAUAAUUUACCACUACUUAACUCUAAAAAGAUAUAAUUUAAAAAAGUUAAAACAUUAGAGGAAUAAAUUCCAUCGCUUGAACAUUUUAGGGGUAAAAUGCAAAAGACAGAUUCCUUUGAAAAAUUCUUAAAUAAUUAUCUUUUAUUAGAAAAAUACUAGUCAAAACAGAAAAUGAAGCAAAACUAAACAAUUCCUUCAACAUUUUGCAACUCAAAAAAUAGAUUAAAAAAAAGAUAAUAGAAGAUAUCCUAAUUUUCUAAAUACUAUCAAAAUUGAAAUUUUAUUGAGCAAUUUAUUCAAUUUAUAUAAUUCUAAUGCAUUACAUAUAGAUAACUCUAUCUGAAAAUUUAUUUUUAUAACGUUUUAUAAUUGAAUUCAACAAUUAUCCUAAAUAACUGACCUAUUUGAGAUAAAGGCAAAGUAUUAUUCCUUGAAACCUUUUUCAAGGAACUGCAUUGUUCCUUGAAAAAGUAUAGAAAAAAAAUAAAUUUGAUAAAAAGAAUUUUUACGGAAAACUCCUUUUUCAAUUUUCCAUCCAUUCGGUUUCAAGAACGACUAAAUUUGUUAGAAAACUAUUUUUUUCAAAUUUAAUGGAAAAUUUGUGUUUCCAUUUUCCAGAUUUUUUUAAAGGAAAAUAAAAAUAUUAUUUUUUCAUAAAUCUGAAAAAAAAAUUCAAUAAUACUAAUUUAUUUUAUAAAAAAAAAAUUUAAAAUUUUUUUUCCAUAAAUUCUUUUUUCUUGGAAAAUAUUUUUUUUAUGGCCCGGCCCAUAGAAACGAAAUUUGAGCUAAACAGGCCGGUAAUUAAUUCACAAAUCCAGGGGCUACUACUGCGUAGGAAACGUGAAGGCCCAACCGACACGUGUCCAGCACCCGUGCAUUCCCCCAAAGCGGCAACCGGUUACCGGUUCGAGCCCCCCCCACACCCUCCCUGCGCGACACGUGUCAUUCUCCUCCCUCGUUAUCCAUGCACGCCUCUUCGUUCUCAUCCCUUCUUUGUGCUCUAGUAGCUAUAAGUAUAUAUAUAGAGAUAGAGAUAUAUAUAAACAUAUAUAUCUAUAUAUAUAUAUAUAUAUAGAGAGANUACUUCGAGAAAGAGAGAGAGAGAGAGAGAGAGAGAGAGAGAGAGAGAUAUAUAUAUAUAUAUAUCUAUAUAUACAAAUAUAUAUAGAGAUAGAGAUAUAUAUAUGAAUAUCGAUGAUCUCGUGUUUCUUCCCUACUCUUGCUUCUCCGCACGUACCUAUUGCUCCCUCCUAGUUAGUAUUAUUAUUGUUAUCUUUGUGGGUAAUUAAAUAUGGCUGGGAGGGGUGUAGUAGGUCCACUGCUGUUUCUCAACCUGAUUUUGUACUCCAUAGUUGUGGGCUUUGCGAGUUGGAACUUGAAUCACUUCAUUAAUGGGCACACAAAUUACCCUGGUAUAUAGAUAUAUAUGUGGGUGUGUGUAGUGUACAUGCGCUUCACUUGUUUUAGUUUUGAUCUUAAUGCAUGGUUCUCAUAGUUACUCCUUGUUUUUCGUAUGUUAUUUGCGGAGAAGUUAUUCUGAGAUAUAUAUAUAUAUCGGAUAUCGUCUCUAAAUAUAUAUAUAUAUAUAUAUAUAUAUAUAUAUAUACUAUAUAUAAUAUAUAUAUAUAAAAAAACACUUGUUCAAACAACUGUCACAAAGCAUCAAAUCCACAAGAGCUGUUUGAAUACAAGCUAAUAAUAUAUAAUACUAUAUAUAUAUAUAUAUAUAUAUAUUAAUAUAUAUAAUAUAUAUAUACAGAAUAACUUCUCCGCAAAUAACAUACGAAAUACANNNNNNNNNNNNNNNNNNNNNNNNNNNNNNNNNNNNNNNNNNNNNNNNNNNNNNNNNNNNNNNNNNNNNNNNNNNNNNNNNNNNNNNNNNNNNNNNNNNNNNNNNNNNNNNNNNNNNNNNNNNNNNNNNNNNNNNNNNNNNNNNNNNNNNNNNNNNNNNNNNNNNNNNNNNNNNNNNNNNNNNNNNNNNNNNNNNNNNNNNNNNNNNNNNNNNNNNNNNNNNNNNNNNNNNNNNNNNNNNNNNNNNNNNNNNNNNNNNNNNNNNNNNNNNNNNNNNNNNNNNNNNNNNNNNNNNNNNNNNNNNNNNNNNNNNNNNNNNNNNNNNNNNNNNNNNNNNNNNNNNNNNNNNNNNNNNNNNNNNNNNNNNNNNNNNNNNNNNNNNNNNNNNNNNNNNNNNNNNNNNNNNNNNNNNNNNNNNNNNNNNNNNNNNNNNNNNNNNNNNNNNNNNNNNNNNNNNNNNNNNNNNNNNNNNNNNNNNNNNNNNNNNNNNNNNNNNNNNNNNNNNNNNNNNNNNNNNNNNNNNNNNNNNNNNNNNNNNNNNNNNNNNNNNNNNNNNNNNNNNNNNNNNNNNNNNNNNNNNNNNNNNNNNNNNNNNNNNNNNNNNNNNNNNNNNNNNNNNNNNNNNNNNNNNNNNNNNNNNNNNNNNNNNNNNNNNNNNNNNNNNNNNNNNNNNNNNNNNNNNNNNNNNNNNNNNNNNNNNNNNNNNNNNNNNNNNNNNNNNNNNNNNNNNNNNNNNNNNNNNNNNNNNNNNNNNNNNNNNNNNNNNNNNNNNNNNNNNNNNNNNNNNNNNNNNNNNNNNNNNNNNNNNNNNNNNNNNNNNNNNNNNNNNNNNNNNNNNNNNNNNNNNNNNNNNNNNNNNNNNNNNNNNNNNNNNNNNNNNNNNNNNNNNNNNNNNNNNNNNNNNNNNNNNNNNNNNNNNNNNNNNNNNNNNNNNNNNNNNNNNNNNNNNNNNNNNNNNNNNNNNNNNNNNNNNNNNNNNNNNNNNNNNNNNNNNNNNNNNNNNNNNNNNNNNNNNNNNNNNNNNNNNNNNNNNNNNNNNNNNNNNNNNNNNNNNNNNNNNNNNNNNNNNNNNNNNNNNNNNNNNNNNNNNNNNNNNNNNNNNNNNNNNNNNNNNNNNNNNNNNNNNNNNNNNNNNNNNNNNNNNNNNNNNNNNNNNNNNNNNNNNNNNNNNNNNNNNNNNNNNNNNNNNNNNNNNNNNNNNNNNNNNNNNNNNNNNNNNNNNNNNNNNNNNNNNNNNNNNNNNNNNNNNNNNNNNNNNNNNNNNNNNNNNNNNNNNNNNNNNNNNNNNNNNNNNNNNNNNNNNNNNNNNNNNNNNNNNNNNNNNNNNNNNNNNNNNNNNNNNNNNNNNNNNNNNNNNNNNNNNNNNNNNNNNNNNNNNNNNNNNUGUUUGUUUUGGCUAUUGUAUAUGAUAUAGAGAGUCUCUUUUCAUGCCUUUUGAUAUUCUCUCCUAUAACAGUGAAAUAAUAAGUGAGCCUCUACUCCUUAAUAUUUAUAAUUAUCACAAUGCACCUUCUCUAUUAUAUACACAUAUAUAGAAAGAGAGAGUUCGACUACUAUACUCUUACCGGUAUAGAUUUUUUUGUACUAAUAAAUUUUCGAUUGUUAGAUUUAUUCUCUUGAUCAUUUUCAUCAGUUAGAUCACACUAUAUAUUCAACCAAACACCUACUUAAUUUUAGGAGAUCAUUAUCAUACUAACAGCACAAACUUAAAACAGCGAAAGUAAAUUAAACGAACUUAUAUAUUCAAUGAAAUCAAAACUUGCUAAAAUAAAUUUUUUUGAUUACAAAUAUUAAGCGACUAGCUAGAGAGCAGUAUAUUUAUAUUUUGUAUGCAAUUAUAGAUAGCAGAUAAAAAAUAUCUAGAUCUAUAUAUAUACCAAAUUAAGUGACUACAUUGAAAAAAAUUCAUAUUUGUAUUUGAAUUUGAAUCCCAAUCCGAAUUGAUCUAAUUUUCAUUUGUAUACCCAUAUCUAUCUAAAACAACAUUCAUUUAGUGUCGAAUAAACCUGCCCGUUUGUAUUUGGGUUCGGAUUUGGGCUAGCUGGUGUGGGCACAUGCCCACAUUUUACCCAAAAUUAAUUUAAGAACCCUCCUUUAUUUCAUCUCAGUUCCUUUUGGUUGAGUAGCAGCAAAAAUAUUAAUACUUCUUUUUUAGUAGUAUUAUUUCAUUAUACCAAUCGUGCUCAUCUUGUAUUUCUUUUCUGACUCUGCCCCUGCGCAUGCAUGCAUGCAGGGGUGGCGGGGAACGGCGCGACCUUCUACUUUCUGGUGUUCGCGAUCCUCGCAGGCGUGGUGGGGGUGGUGUCGAAGCUCGCCGGCGUCAACCACGUGCGAGCGUGGAGGAACGACAGCCUCGCCGCGGCCGCUGCUUCUUCCAUUAUCGCCUGGGCCAUCACUGCCCUAGCCCUCGGGUACACAUGCAUGCACUCCUCUUCCUCCUUUUCUCUUACAUACAUACAUACAUACAUACAUACAUACAUAUAUAUGUAGAAUGAGAUUACUAUACUAUCUAUAGUAUCGGAGCUCUGCUAUUAUAGUCUUAUUUUCAAUCUUAGGGUGUUCAAAUUAACAAUCCACACCGUUAAAUAUGAUCUAGGAUAUAUGAAGUUUUUAAGAAUAAAAUUUUAGUUUAUUUCGACAUCAUUUAAUUAGUAAAUAAAUUAUGUCAAAGUGGACGGUGGAAAUAUAUUGAACAAUUUUUAAAAUUUAAGUAUAGGAUUUUUAAAUUCAAGAUAAAGAAUGUUGGCCUUGAUCUAGAUAGUUUAAAGUAUUUUCUAUCAAACUUUUGAAUAAAUUUAGAUUAUUCUACACUGUUAAACUCUAAACUUAUAGUAGCCAUCGAAAAUUGACAAUUUUAAAAUGGUUUGAUCAUAAAGUAAACUAUGUCGAAAAAAUAUAAAAUUUUGUUUUUAAAAACUUUAAGUAUUCUAGAUCAGUUUUAACGGUAUGGAUCAUUAAUUUGAAUAUCCUAAAAUCGAAAACGAGACUAUAGUACCAAAGCCACGGUACUAUAGAUAGUACAUGAGCCUAACUCUAACUCUAUAUGCAUAAUUUUAGGGUUGAUUAUACAAGUCUUUUUAAGUUUUGUCAACUGUUUCUUUUGCAAUUAAAGUAAGAAAUUUCAGUGUUUAAUUUAUCUACUUGAAGUAGUCUAAGGGGGUGUUUGGCCUAGCUUUUAAAAAGCGCUUUUGAGCUGAUAAGUAAUUUUCGGCUCAAUAGAGCGUUUGACAACUCACUUUUAAAAUCUGAUUCUGCUUUUUAGAAUCAGAAAAUUGAUUUGAAGGCUCCAGAAUCAAAAGCAGAAAAAACCUGCUUCUUGAAAUCUAAUUCUGAUUUUGGUUUUAAACUUCAAAUUUUUAUUUUUAUUUUAAUUUUAAUAUUUAAAUUUAAAUUUAAUUUUAAAUUUUAAUUUUUAGAUUUAUUUUUGAAUUUUUAAAUUUUAACUUUUAAAUUUUAAAUUUUAAAAAAUAGAUUUUAAACUUUAAAUUUUAAAUUUUAAUUUUAAAUUUCAAAUCUCAAAUUUUAGAUUUUAAAAUUUCAAAUUUUAAAUUUCAAUCUACAAAUUUGAGAUAUUUAAAAAUUUAAAAUAAAAAUUUUUAAUAUUUAAAUUUCAAAUUAGAAUUUUAUAUCAUUCAAAUUUAAAUAUAAAUUUAAAAUUUAAUUAGUUCUGAAAUUUAAAUUCAAAAUUUAAAUUUCAAAGAUUAUUGUAAAUUUAUAAUUUUAAAUUUAAUUUCAAUUUAAAUAUUCAAAUUUAAAUAUUAACAUUUAAAUUUAAAUUUAAAAUUCAUAAUAAUUUUAAUUUUAAUUAUUAAUUUAAAAUUUUAAAUAUAUUAAAUUUAAAAUUUAAAUAUAAAUAUUAAUAUUGUUAUAUCUUUAAUUCUAAUUAUUUAAAUAUUUACAUUACAAAUUAUAGUAUUAAAUUUUAAUUCUUAAUUUAAUAGUUUGAAAUUUUAAUUUUAAUUUAUAUAUUUUAUAUAUAAAAUUUAAUAUUUAAAAUUCAUAUAUAUUAUUUUUAUUAAAUUUAAUUAAAUUUUCUAAUUUUUAAAUUUCAUGAUUAUUUUAAAUUUUAAUUUCUUAAAUUUUAAUAAUUAUUUUAAAAUUAAAAUAUCAAUUUUUAAAUUUUGUACAAUUUUGAAAAUUAAAAAUUUUAAUUUUAAUUUUAAUUUAAAUUUAGAUUUUAAAUUAUUUUAAAAUAAAAUUAAAUAAAAAUAUUAAUUUAUGUAAACAUCAAAAAAAUUUGCCAAACAGCUUUUCAAAAUCACUUCAGAAAAAUCACUUUUAUCUAAAUUACGCCAAACGCUCUAUAGCUUUUAGCUUUAUAGCUUUUAACCAAAAUCACUUCUCUAAAUCAAAAUCAUUUUUUCAAAAAUCACUUUUCAGAAGCUAGGCUAAAUAGGUCCUAAGUUUCAAAAUCAGAAGCACUAAAUUGAAAUUUCUAUUUUUACUUAGCAUUAAGCUAUUGUAGAAUAUCUUUUUCUUUUUUUUUACUUUUUUUUUUCAAAGACUGUAUUAGUUAAAUAUUCAAUUAUGCACAUCAACAGAGAUGGUAAAUCUAAUUAAUUUGAGAUAUGAGUUACAUAAGCUUAAUUUAGAAUUGAUUACUUACUUUUGUGGUGGUCCUUUUUUCUCCUUUUAGCCAAAUUGUAACAAGUAUUCUUUCAUGAAUUGCACCAUUUUUUUUUUAGGAUUAAUUUCAUUCAGAUUCCUGCAGAUAUAGUGAAUUACAAAUAUAUCCCUAUAAAGUUCAACUUUCAUAUGUUAACCUUCUAAAGGUCCUAAUUUUCUUAAAUAUAUCCCUAUCGUUAGAAUCAGUUAGUAAAUUUUAGUUAACCAUUAGAUUAAAUACUUAAUUCUGGUUAGUUUAUGAAAUAACUCGAUAUUUUUGCCUCUUUUAUAUUAUAUUAUUGUGGCUUUUAGAGGGACAUAUUUGUGAUGACAAAAAUGACAUUUCACUUAAAGUAUAAACAAUUCUAUAACUGUAACAAACUAGAAAGAUAAAUUUGAAAAUAUUAGAAUUUUUAUAUAAACAACAUAUGAAAGUUGAACUUUGUAAAGUUAUACUUGAAAUUCAUUAUAUUUGUAAGGACCUGUAUGUAUUUAAUUCUUUUUUUAACACGAAUCACACCAAUUAUUCGAUUACAGUAUUUCUAGUUAUCUUUUUUUUUUCUUUUUUUUUUCUUUUUUUUUUUGAGAGAGAUAGAUAGUACGCUACCCGCUUAAAAUUAUAAUAGUGUGUAUGUAACUCUCUCUUUGUUUUUCUUUUUUUUUUUUUUUGGUUUGCUCAGGUUAGCGAUAAAGGAGAUACACAUGGGAGGGCACAGGGGAUGGAGACUAAGGGUGUUGGAGGGAGCCAUUAUCAUACUCGGGCUCACCCAACUCAUCUACGUGUUGCUUAUCCAUGCGGGUAUAUUUAGCAGGAGAUACGGACCGGGUUACCGGGCCGAACCCCAUUAUGGGCCCGGUGGACCCGACCCGAAAGGGAGUGUUGUUUAAGUGCCCUUUUGGGGGUGUUCGUUGAGAGUUUAUAGUUAUGGAGGGGAAUUAAUUAGUGGGAGAUAAUGAUGGUUUUAAGUAUCAUUUUGUGUGUGUGUGUGUGUGUAUUUUGUAUGUGCAUGUGCUCUGAAUCGUAUGAAUUUGUGUGGACAUAUAUGUGUUUUUUAUUCCUAGUGUUGUUAAAUUGGUAGUGUUGUUUUUUUCUAAGUAAUCGUUAGAUGUCAGUUUUUUUUGUAUAAUUUGUACGUCUCGAUAAAGAUAUAAAAUUUUUAUGUUUUGGCAGGCCUAUAGUAUUUAUAUAAUCUAUGCUAUUAGAAGGAUGGGGUAUCUAAUUGUAUUAUUUUUAAAACUUAUUUACUUCGUGAUCUUGAAAGUUUAAUUAUGUUAAAGCUAGCUAUUCAAAUUGAGUAAAAAAUUUAAUAAAAGAUUAUCUUCGCUAUUAAAAAUAGGACAAACACCUUCACUAUAAAAUUUAAGUUCUCUAUUAUUAUUUUGUAAAAAUUUUCGUUCUCAAACGUUUACUUUUACUUUGAAACUAUCAUUUUCGCUACACAAAUAAUAUUAAAGUUUUAUAAAAUUUAAUUUUUAGAUAUCUGAUAUCGUAUUUUAUGAAACCGAUCGUUUAUUCAGAUAUCUGAUCAUCGAAAGUAAAAAAGGCAAAGUACUCUACCACACACGCUUAUUAUUUUAAUGCUUCCAUUGCGCUGAAAUUGAGUAUAAUCUAAGAAGGUCCAAAACACUUGUUUCCCAAACCCGUAUUUUGGCCAGUGGAAACACUACUAACUAAGAAUGCAAAUGUGUUUGAAUUGGUAGAGUUUCUGAUUUGAAUCGGACAGUAAAUAAAGAUAAAAAAUUUUAAAAAAUAAAGCAGGAGGUGUUGAUCCCCUAUGUUUUCUUGAUCAGUCCCAAUUCACAAAAAAUUAGUCAAAAUUUUAUUCUUAUCCCGACCCGCACUGAAUAGAAUAAUAAGUGAGGGUAAAAUUUAAGAUAGCUCUACCCGACCCGUUAAAGGAAACGGGCGAGAGGCGGAUCCGCCCCGUUUGAUGCCUACUAACGCUAACCCGACAUUUCCAAAUCCGUUUUUACAGCUGCUCCCCGGAGGAGAGAGAGAGAGAGAGAGAGAGAGAGAGAGAGGAGCUCGCCAUGGAAGGAGGAGACGAGCUCGACGAGUCGAUUAGGGCACACUUCCCCCUCUCCUUCGGCAAACCCUCCAAGCCCCAGGCUCACGCCUCCGCCAUCCACUCCUCCACCCGCCGCGCCCCGCCCCCGAACCCUAACCCUAACCCUACACGGCCGAGCUACUCCGCCUCCGAGGACGACGGAGCGAUGAUCGGCCCCCCUCGGCCGCCGCCGUCGCGCGGCGGCGGCGGCGGCGGCGGCGGCGCGGGGGAGGACGACGAGGACGUGAUGAUCGGGCCUCCGAGGCCGCCGAGCUCGUCGCGGGGGGGUGACGCGGCGGAGGAUGAGGAGGACGCGACGAUCGGGCCACCACCACCGCCGCCGCCGCGUUCGCUGGAUGAGUCCGGCUACGAUUCGGAUGAGGAUUUGGAUGAUGAGUCGCCGGAGGAUUUCAAUCGGAUUCCUUUGAGCAACGAGAUUGUGCUCAGAGGGCACACGAAGGUGACGAUGAAUGUUUUUAGUUUUAUAUCUGAGUGGUUGAUAUCAUGUCCGGAGAUCCCUAUUUAGCUAACGCUCGAUUACAAUCAGAUUCCCUUGCUAGGUUAAUUUAUGCCCUGUGUUAACUCUUUUUUAGCUUUCGAUCUAUAAUGCAUUAGCUAAAAUGCAGGAUUUUUAGUUUAGGCUUGAUUAUGUAGACGACAAUGGCAACAACUAGUAAGCUUACUAUUAUAGCUGUUUGGGAACAUUGGAUAUAGAAGAAAAAAAAAAAAAAUCUAAGAGUUAGGUAAAACUGCUGAGCUCUUUAAAUCAUGGAUUCGUAGAGGAGGAUGCGGAGGCUACUGCUGUGACAUGAUACUCAUGUUCUCAUUCUCCAAUAUGGCAACACGUUGGACUAUGAAAGAUGGAUAUAAAAUGCAUGCAUACAACAUUUUUACACAUGCACAUAUCACAUUUUUUUCAUCACAUAUUUAACACAAUUUAUUUGUCUAAGCAUCUUUUGCUAAUGGACCUUGGUAACAUAUGAAUUGCAUUAUACUAAAUUCAUAUAAAGCCCAUUCCUCUGGUGGAAUUAGAAAGUUAAUCCUAUUUGGUACAUUAUAAGUUUUCACUAUACCAGUAGAUGUAGAUUGAGCCUCGCUAUUACAUUUAAUAUGACAUCAGAGACAAAUUGAAGCAUUUGACAUGUAUUGGCUUAUUGUAGAAGUUUUUGAUGCAUCCAACUUGUUUCUGUAUAUUUAUAUUGAUUUCCAGAGAAAUAAGAUAUUCGAAGAAGAACUCUACCAAACGUUCAAUGAAUGUGUAUCUUGUGACACGGCAAGAGCAUCAAACUAUCCGUGCUUUAUAGUCUAUAGUAUGUUCCAAAGGGACGGUAGUUUUCAUGAGGUUAUGUGAAGCACUUUUUAUUUGUUGAUUGUGGCUUCUUACAGAUUUAAAUACAUGUCAACUUUUUGGCACUUAUUUUGUAAUUUUGUGGAUGCCUCUAAUACACUAUUGCCAUUAUGUAUUGAAGGUUGUCUCGGCCCUUGCUGUUGACCAUUCAGGAUCGAGAGUGCUCUCUGGGAGCUAUGAUUAUACUGUACGUAUGUAUGACUUUCAAGGGAUGAACUCCAAGCUGCAAUCCUUCAGGCAAUUGGAACCCUUCGAGGGACAUCAAGUCCGUAGCUUAAGUUGGAGUCCAACAUCAGAUCGAUUUUUGUGUGUGACAGGCUCUGCACAAGCUAAGGUAUUACUUUUCAUCGCAUUUGGAAAAUUGCCUGAGUAUCUCUUACUUUUCAUUUUAUAUUGUCAUUGACGAGGAGGUAUGCUUCCACCUCAGAUCUAUGACCGAGAUGGGCUUACCUUAGGUGAGUUCGUUAAGGGGGAUAUGUAUAUACGCGAUUUGAAGAAUACCAAGGGUCAUAUAUCUGGUCUCACUGGUGGUGAGUGGAACCCUAAAUCAAAGGAAUCCAUAUUAACUUCUUCAGAAGAUGGAUCACUGCGUUUAUGGGAUGUAUCCGACUUCAAAAGUCAAAAACAGGUAUUCUUGUUGUCAUUGCUUAACUUGAAACUGGCAAUUUAGGUUAUUUACUUAUUUUUUGUAUUGAGAAACAAAUUAUAGUUCAAUAUUUUGACUUAUGACUGUAAAUUAACAAGCUAAGGUUAAUAUCCAAAAUCUGCCUUUUCAUUUAUUCACUGGGCAAGUUUGUCUUCUUCUCUACAGUUGCAGUUCCUUCAACCAUAUCUUUUCUUAUCCAAAGAUAACUUAGACUCAUGAAUAUAGUGUAAAUAAGAGUAUUCAUUUUGACUAACUGGUUUGAUAAUUGAUAGGUUAUCAAACCUAAGCUUGCAAGGCCAGUAAGAACACCAGUUACAGCAUGUGGAUGGGAUCAUGAAGGCAAACGAAUUGUUGGUGGUGUUGGAGAUGGUUCUAUACAGGUGAGCUAAGUUUUAUUUAUCAAAGUCUUUUAGUUCUUAUGCACUUAAUCAACCCUAGAAGUUAAUUAGACCAACCUUUUAUUUGCUUCUUACUAGAAAUUGGGUAUAAAUUUUUCAGCUGUGGACCAUUAAGACUGGGUGGGGGAGCAGACCAGAUAUCCAUGUUGAAAAAGCACAUACUGAUGACAUUACUGGACUCAAGUUUUCUACAGGUGGGCAAAUUCUUUUGUCGAGGAGCACUGAUAGCACACUGAAGGUAAUUUUGCUAGCUGGCCAUACUACCUGUUCUUUUGGUGCGGUUACCUACUUUUGGAAUGGCGAGCUUGAAUGUAAACAAAAUACUGCUUAUUAAUUUGUGAUCAGGUGUGGGAUUUGCGGCAAAUGAGAAAACCUGUGAAGGUUUUUGAAGAUUUGCCAAACAAUUAUGCUCAGACAAAUGCUGCAUUUAGUCCUGAUGAGCAACUAAUCUUUACGGGAACCUCUGUUGAGAGAGAAGGCACUAGUGGAGGUCUGCUCUGCUUCUUUGAUCGUAGGAAACUUGAGCUUGUUCAGCGGGUUGGAAUUUCCUUAAAUUUCAGUGUUAUACGGUGUGCUUGGCAUCCGAAGAUCAAUCAGGUGCAGUUCUAAAUGAUUUCUGACUUCACAAGUUUUAUAUUUUCAAAUUAUUUUAUUGGAUCAAAAAACUUUUCUACUUUGCAGUUAUUUGGUGGUUGGAUUUUACACAUACUUGAUAAUACUUUACUGUAGGUGAAGCUAACGAAUUUUCUGUUUGUGAAGGUCUUUGCUACUGUGGGAGACAAGAGGGAAGGAGGGACUCACAUACUAUACGAUCCAUCUAUUAGUCAAAGAGGAGCUCUUGUUUGUGUUGGACGUGCACCCCGGAAAAAGUCUGUUGAUGAUUUUGAGGUGCAGCCCAUAAUUCACAAUCCGCAUGCAUUACCCUUGUUUAGAGACCAGCCAAGUCGUAAGCGCCAACGAGAAAAAGAACUUAAGGAUCCUCUUAAAUCUCAUAAACCAGAACUUCCGGUCACUGGUCCAGGCUUUGGUGGAAGAGUGGGUACUACAAAAGGCAGCCUGUUGACACAGUACCUCUUGAAGGUGUGCAAUAAUUUUUGAAUGGAGAUACUUUUAUACCCCUGUGAAGUUAUCUAUUUAUAUAUUAAUCCUUUCAAAAGAUGAAUAUUCAUGUACAUACUUCCUACAUAUAUAAGUACAAUAUAUAUACCCUUGUACUUGAGAGUUCGCUCUGUCUAAAGAAAGUUUUAUACAAAACCAAGUUUACCCAUGAAUUGGAUGACUCCCUAACAUAAUGUAAGGGCAUUUUUGGUAAGAAACUGCUCUUUUGGGGGUAUGUAUGACAUUGCGAUCUUUAUAGGGGUAUAUAUGUAAAUAUAUGACACUAUUGGAAUAUUUACAUAAAAGCUCCUUUCGAAAAGAGUUACCUUUUGUACCUUUUCCUUUAGACUACCUUUUCUUAUUGGUUUGGACUGUUAUUAUCUUUGAUGCAGCAAGGUGGUUUAAUCAAAGAGACCUGGAUGGAGGAAGAUCCAAGAGAGGCCAUUCUUAAGUAUGCUGAUGCCGCUUCAAAAGACCCAAAAUACAUUGCGCCGGCAUAUGCACAGACACAGCCAGAGCCUGUUUUUGCAAAGUCUGAUUCAGAGGAGGAAGAGAAAUGACGAGGUAUACGUCUACCAUAUUUGCCAUCAUUAAGGCCUGUAUAUUGAGCUUUUCUCCCAGUUUGCUAAUACUAGCACAUCUCUGAAUACGUAUCUAUGAUUGAGUAGCUAUAAUUCCAGGAUCGUAAUGUCCAUGUUCCAUUGACCAAGAUACCUUUCUCCUGCAAUGAAAAUUUGAGAUUAACUGGUGGAUAUGAAGGUAUGGUCCCUUUGCUCUAAAUAGAAAGCCUUGCUUAUGCUUUUUCUUUGAUUCUGUUGAGCUAAUGCACUUUGAGCUACUUUCGAGUAACUUGGUAUGUUGCUAAAUGUUCAUUGUGAUGGUGUAACUUCAUACCGCAUUUCUUUUACCAAAAUGAACUAGCAAAUUCCCUUGUUUUCAAUGAUUCACGAAACAAACUUCUCUCGAGACUCUGACAUGCUUUUCUAAUAUAGUGGAGCCAUUUUUCCCUCUCUGUUCACAAUUACAGAUUAUUUGACUUCCAUAGAAAUCUUCAUUAUAUAGUAACCUUCUUUCAAUAGUUUUCUCUUAUUUUGGCCUUUCCCUCUUAAUAAAUAGAACGCCGUUAACUCCUUAUUUUUUUCUGCAGGCUUAUGAGCAGUUAUUUUCAUACCACAAAUACUGGUUGUAAAAGAAAAGGGCAUGUAACUGCUUCGAAGAUCAGACGUUACAGGUAUUAAGACUUAAAAGAGGGUAUGUAUUUUUUGAGGAAUCCAAUGUAUCUUUACUUGAAUAGAGAUGCACAAAAUCGUUUGCAUCUGAUGAUGCAUAUUUCACAUAAUCUUCAUGUAACAUGUAACAAUAAAUACUCUCUAGUUUUAUGCUGUAAAUACUCGUCUAGGAAGUUUUCAGCUAUUGAACAAGCUUUGUGAACAAAGGAUUAUAGGGUUCUAGAGAUCAUGCAGAAUCAGUUGCACGGUUUCUCUUUCAGAAAAAAGGAUAUUAUAUGAACCAUGAAAAAUCUCUCCCUGAAAAACAUAGAAAUCUCUCGAUCAUUUGCUUUUUAGUAGUAAUAAAAGCUGUAACAUAAGUAACAAAUCAAACGGAAGGUCGAAUAACAAAAGUCAAAAUCUCCGUGAUAAUAAUAUUUAGAGCGAAUGGCUUAACACUCUUCAACAUCCUAUUUGAUUACCUCCCGUAUGUGUUGUUGCAAUUAUUAUGCUGCGAACACUAUUUGUUUAGCUUUUUUUCUGCAAAUGUGGCAGUAUGUAGGACUUUUUUUUUUUUGUACUAGGGUUCCAUCUACUAUAUCAGGAACUGUACAAUAUCAUCUUAUACCACUAUCACAGUUGAUUUUCAAUUUUCUGUAACUGGUUUCGGCCAAUAUAUUGCACAGCAAAUACACUAAGAUCUUAUCCAAAAAGCUACAAGUUGACACCAAGAGUACACACCAAAGUAUUCUGCAGCAUAUUCUCAUUCAUACAUUUUAAUCUCAAUUCUCAACAAAGCCAAACCCACCCAAUAUAUAUAUACUAAUAAAAAAGGGAUAGCAUCCUGUAUCACAAUGCAAACAUCUCAAAUACUCCAUCUUCCUGCUAAACGCACCAUACAGGGACAGGAGGAAACUAAAUUGAGAGUAGCUGGGGAUUAGACCAAGCUUAAUCACUCUCAGGGUUCUAAAUAACCAUCCUAUAACUCUGAAUCUACAAAUUACAUCUAUGGCACAAAUACACAUUUUAAAGCUAAAAGUUCCUCAAUUUGAGAUUUUGUUCCUCCCAAAAUCCCAAAUUCUAGAGGGACCAAAUGAAGUAUAUACUAAUACAGCAAUCAAAUUCUCUAUCUUAUCGUAGAGCCGAAUUGCUAGCACCUCUCAUCCCCUUUCCAGUUAUCUUUCUCCUUGGGCCCCGUCGGCCCUUCCUCCCCGUACAACUCCAUCGGGAGGCUAUCGAAUAUGUUCUCCACCGUGAACCUAAGAUUGACCGGUAAAAACCUAAGUAUUCGAUCCAACUCCGACUUCGAAUCGUAUAUGAUCGUUGGGCCCCAUUCUCUCAUGUACUGCAACCAGCAUGGCUCCUCCACAACACCUUGGCCGAGAUACUCUGCCGCGACAACUUGAUAAUUCACACUUGAAUCCACAGAAAGCUUACUUUUGGAAGCAUCAUUCCUUACUCCGAUCCCGAGCUUCUCCGAACCCUGUAGAUAGUUCCCUUGAUGGGGGAAGCUAGCAUGCCCACUCUUUGAUGAAUAAACGAUGGCGUGAUUACCUGCGACGAACUCCAACCCACAAGCAUCGACCCACUCGCCUCCACUAUGUUCAGAAAAAUAGAUGCUCCAUAGCUCGCCCGAGAAAUUACUAACCCGAAGUGUGAAGUGCUCCCAAUCUCCGACAUGCCUUCCAAUCUUGGAGAGAGGGAAGUCGAAUACCCCGACCUUGAUCGUGGCAGGGCCGUUGAAUGGACAGAACACCCACAUGGCGAUAUCGGUGAACGUCCCUCCAAGGGCCGGUUUUAUAUGUACGUAAAGCUCGGAGCUUUCCAGAUUCCCCUUCUUGAUAUAGUCAAUUCUACCAUCGUCGGGGAGAUUGAUCCAGUACUCGCCAUCGUUCUCCCCUCCGGCGGGUAAAUUUGAGCCAUCAUUAUUUAUUUCCUCGCCCAUUUUAAUGCCUCUUUUAUAUAAAGAAGCUCCAUUCUCAAAGAACCACGAGACGGAUGAGGGCAAGUAAGUUUCCUUUGGGUGGAAGUAGACAGUAGGACCAUAGUGUUUGAUGAGUGCAUGAAUUUGCUCCAAGUUUGGCAUUGCUUGUAGGGAGGAAUCAAAGUUUCGCAAGCACGAGAUGCUCAACUCGUCCUCAACAAUCGAGUCGGUACUGCAAAAGAAUGUCCCGACAGCGACGCCUCUUCCUUUCAUUCCCCGGUCGCAAGGACGCACUUUGAAAACUUGGCAAGCGAAAUCUGGGAAAAUGAGUUCAGUAUCUACAAUCAAAUCUGAUAUCUCACAUGCAUCGGUGAGAUCGGAUCGCACGCAUCGAACUUCUUCAAGCGAGGGCUUAUUGGGUCCUUUGGCGACCACGUAGCCCAAAGCUUUAUAACCCUUUGGCGGCAGCGGAAGCCAAAUGCAGCCACAUUCAUCGUAACUAUCAUCUUUCCAGCUACUAGAACUCCAAAUAAGGGUAUAAUCUAGGGGUCUCCGAAUAGAAGGCGCGGUGGUAACUGAAUCGGAAUUCGUCGUUUCUCUUACCACAAGAAGGAAGCCUUGUAGAGGUUGAUUGUUUGGUUGGCCGUAAUGGCCGAGGCAGUAAAAACCAUCAGGUAUUUCUAAUGGUUUGUAGAAUGUAGCCCCUCUACCCUUGUCCUUCGAUGAAAAGCAACUCCAGAUGCUCUGGAGCUUGGUAAUUUUUACAACCUCCAAUUCUCCUAUGCAUAUUUUUCCCUCAGCAAAGCCUUCACCUGUAGAGUGACUACAAGUCAGAGGCAAUCUAGCUAUCUUGGUUUUGGUUAGUAUACGAUAAACUUAUACUAUCGAGGGAAUAAGAUGGCAAAAUUAUUGUAGUCAAAAAAUUUUAUUUUAUAUAAGAAAACAAAGUAAGAUGUGAAAGCAUAUAUCCCUCUGUUGAUCAAUUAUAUAUAGUUGAAACACUCAUGACAUGAGAUGUUGCGUUGAAAAGAACUAUAAAUUGCACUUAAAAAUCAGAUGUUAAUGAGAUUCUUUGUCCGGUUUAACUUAGGGCUUCUUUGGGCCUGCUUCUGCUUCUGUUUUGAGCAGCAGCAGCCUCUAGGCUCUAGUAGAGAGUAUGUUAAAGCGAUAGCAAAAUUGAAAUUUUGAGCCUAACAAACAAAAACUCUAAUCUGGUGCUUCUACUAUAGACAAAUAGCGUUCGGGAUACAUUCAUACAGUACUUUUUGUAAUACCACUACUCAGACACUUCAUUAAAUAGCACUACAGCCUACAGCGAGAAAAAGUCAACUCUUUGAAACAAUAGUUAAAAAAAUGGUAUUUUUACAUAGAUCUACUAAACUUAAAAAGUUCUGAGAUAUUCAAACACUAGAGCUAUCUCUCCUCUCCUAAUGUUAAAUAUAAAAAUAUUUAAACUCUGUUUUCUAACGGCUUAAGUUUUUAGAGUACAAUGGUUGUUUCACAUGGUAUCAGAACAGGAGAUCCUGAGUUCGAGUCACGCCAGGCUCCUAGUAUAUUAAUUUCCUCCCAUUUAAUUCAAGCCCACGUCAUGGGCCAACUAAAAAGUCUCGAGCCCAAACGUGAGGGGGAGUGCUAAAUAUAAAAAUGUUUAAACACCGUUCUCUAACAGCUUAAGCUUUUAGAGUACAACGGUUGUUUUACACCUAAUAUAGAAGUAAAAAUGGAAGCAGAUAAAUCUAAAGCUACACUAUAUCUACGACAAAAUAAGAGUGUUUUGUUACCAAAAAAAAGGAAAGUAACUUCACCAAUUUUAGUAGAGAGUGAGUAUAACCUCAAAAUUGACUUAAAAUAGCCAAGAAAAGAAGAAACUAACUACGACCUUGUUUCACUCCUUAAAAUCUGUUUCCCAUCCAAAAGCAACUACCCAACCUAAACAGAAAUAAAGGAGCAUAUACAUAAUUUCAUAUGAUAAUCUCCAAAUAUAUCGAAUUUUAUACAAAUUGGAUCAUAACACGCCAAGAAGUAUACAAUUUGACCUAAAAUUCACAAACGAAACCAACGAAUUAUCACCAAAAAAUCAGAAAAAAAAAAGAGAAAAUUUCACCUUGGGGCCAUUGGGGGAUCGGAGCAGGGAGUUUAAACGGCUCCGGCUCUUUGAAACCAACAUCAGGAGCAGCUUCUCUACUCCAACAAAUGCAAUCGCACCCAUCCAUCAUCUCCUCUCCUCUCCUCUCCUCUAACCCUAAAUCCCCAAUUCCUCAGAGCCCAAUUCGCCUCCUCCUCCUCCUCCUCCUCCUCGGUCGAAUAUCAAACCCUUCCCACCCCCAAUCGGUCAACAACCCCAACCCCGUUGAUUCUCCCCCCCCAUUUGAACCAAUUGGGGAUUAGGGUUAGGGUUUCGUGAUCGCGACGAGCUUGGACGCUUCCGAGAGUCCCCCUUUUUUUCUCGUUUGGAAUUGCGUGCGAUUUUGGGAAGGGAAAGUGAAGAGAGAGAGAGAGAGAGAGAGAGAGAGAGAGAAAAAGAAUUUUGUCGGCGGAGAAUUGUACGGUGCGAUGUUCCGCGGAGGCUGGAUCGAAUCUGAGCCGUUGGAUUAAUCUUGCGGUGAGUGUUGAUUGGUUGUAUCGUAUACUGUAUAUACACCGCGGAGUAUCGUAACGACCUAAAAGGCGUGGAUAAUGACCUUUGAUAAUAUAUAUAUACUACACGUCAUCUCAAUUUCGGAUAAAUUGCACGUUGCUCCUUAAACGAUAGUUACGUGAUACUGUAGUCCUCGAAUUUUAUUUCCUUGUAAUUUUUAAUUCGAAUUUUUACAAUUAUUGUGAUCAAAUUUUAUAUAUCUAAUUCUUAACUAAAUUUUAACGCAAUAUUGUUGAAAAAAUAAUAUAGUAUUGUAAUUAUUAUAUAUUAUCAAUCACAGCUUAUUAAAUUAUAUUGACAAUAUAUUAAUAUUUAGUUAAUUAAAUUGAAUUAAUAAAAUUUAAUUAUUAAUAAUUUUAAAAAUAUGAAUUAAAAUUUUAAAUAAAAUAAAAUUAGAAAGCGAAAUGUCACUCAGUCCAAAUGUGCAAUUUACCCCUCCAAUUAUUAUCGGGAAGCAUCCUUGUCCCGUUGUGGGUCCAACCACUUCUCUCGUUUGUCGAGAUAUAAAUGCAUGCAUCCUCGAGUAAAUGUAAUCAUCACAUCAAAAGUUAAAAAAUAAAAAUAAAAAUUUAACCAAAAUAAUUUAAUACUUUUAUUAAAACAAAAGGAAUUAUUUCUAAGUAUAUCUAUAAACUUGAGACCCUAUAUAUAUAUAUAUGUGUGUGUGUGUGUGUGUGUGUGUGUGUUUUUAACUUAAAAUACAAAAAAAAAAAAAAAUCUAAAUACUAGGAUGCAAAGAUGUAAAAUUUAGGGAAAACUUAAAAACACCCCCCCUCCCCCCAGUGGUUUCGUAGUUUCUCCCUUUGCCCCCCUGUGGUUUCUUUUUCUCUUUUUCUUAUCAAUUUUAUUAUUUUUUUUUAAAUCAGUGAUAAAGUUAAAAUUAAAGGGUACUAAAAUAAAUAUUUGAUAAAUCUAGAUGGAUAUCUGAAGUUUUUUUGUAUAUAAUUUAAUGAAAUAUUAACGAAAAAGUUACCGAAAAGAUAAAAAUGAAACCAUAUGGGGACAAAUUAAUACAUUUUAAACCACAUGAGGGUAAAGUGAGAAACUACGAAACUACAGGGGGGGUUUGAAGUUUUCCCUAAAAUUUACACACUUGAAUGGAGCGUACAUUUUUAGCAUUUUUUUCAGAAAAAAAAAAUCUAAAUUAAAGAAAGUCUAGAGUGUGAAAUUUAUGCUUACAAAUAGUAUUGCUAAAAAAAGUACUUAGUUUACAGUUAAAUACUAUAGCAAAUUUUUUUUAAAAAAAAACUCUCUUCUACGAUUAUUUUAUUAUUUUCGUUAAAAAUAACAAAAUCCGUAAAUGCAACAAGCAUUAUAGCUACAACAUUCUCAAUUAUGUACUCACUAGUGACCUGCAAGUUACGGCAGGUAGAUACUGUUAAAGUAAAAAUUUAUAAAGAAUAAAAUAUCUAGUACAAAAAUAGUAAAUAUAAUCUAUAUUAUAGACAAACACCUUUAAAAAAAAAUAAAAAUAUAAUGAAAAAUUUAAUCGUUUCAACAAAACUAUUAAAUCUUAUUCAAGAGAAGUCGCAUAUCAUGCAAAUAGACGAUUAAAAUUAUUUCUAUAACACCGACUGUCCCUAAAGCAAGUGGCAAAAGGCUUGGUAGUUGGUACCCGAGGUCCCAGGUUCGAAUCCUAGUUGAUUUACAUUUCCAACUAAGUUUAGUUUAUUUUUAGAUAAAAUAAACGAGGUUGAUUUACAUUUCCAACUAAGUUUAGUUUAUUUCUAUAUGAAAUAAACGAAGUGGGUAGUGUGCUACCUAUCUCUCAACCUAACCAAAAAUUAAUGUAAUAUAUUUUGAAAUAUUGAAAAAAAAAUAAUUGUUUUGAGUUUGAAUUUUUGGUCGGAUUUCGAUUUGUAUGUGAAUUUUUAAAAUCUGUCAGUUCNUCGACGAUUAGUAUCCAAAAUUUUAAGUUCAAAGACUAGUUAAUAUUUUUGGCUAUAUUUUUUCAUAAAAAAAUAAACAAAAAGCAGAGCAAACGUAAUAAUAACUGUGGCAUAUCUCUUAUUUCAUUUAGGACCUGUUUAUUUUAUUAAAAUUGGAUUAAGUUAAAAUAAAUGUUGAGUUAAAGUAAAAAUCGCUGAAAACUACUUCUUUACUGUUGUUUGUUUCAUAACUAUAAAAGUGAAAUUCCUUCAAUUUUACUGUUUAGCAUAAAAUAAAUAAUGUAAAACCAUAUUUUAUGUACAAAUAAUAUAUAACUUAAUAAAUAAUAAAUUAUAAUAUAAUAAAUAAAAAUAGUAUAAUUAUAUUUUUAUAUAAUUAAAAACUUUAAUUUAAAACAACUAAAUUAUUUUUUUAUAGAUAAAUUAUAUUAAAACAACAAUAGAAUUACAAAGUAAAAAAAAUAUAUAUAAAUACUUAACCAAUCAAUUUUCAUCCUAUUUUAAAUGUACAAACUAAAUGAAGAAAAUAAUAAUACUUAAAUAAUCAAAUUUUAUCAUAUUUUAAAUAUGCAAACUAAAUGAAAGAAUAAUUAGUAUCAUAAUUAAAUAUAUUUAAACAUAACUAGCAUUACUUAUUAUAUUAUUUCAUUAUUUUUCCUCAUCUUUCUUCACCGUAAUUGACUUCGGUGGACCGAAAUUAAUUACACUGUUUUGGAUAACUCAAGUUUCGACCGUAUUUUUAUAAAAAGUAAUCAUUUACAGCCGAAAACAACUUUACCUCUCCACUUUCACCCAAACAAUCAGGUCCUUACUGUUAUCAACACCAAACAAUAGUAGCAGGUAGCAAAUCGGAACCAACAUGCGAAAAUCAACAAAGAAUUAUACUCUAUUAAUUUAGGGUUUGGCUCAAGGGUUUGUCAAAUUCAGCACAAUAGAUAUAUCUGAAAUUAUAAGAGUCGAGACCAGCUAUCGAGUUAAAUUCUUACGCUCCAAAAUAUAAUACCGUCAAAGGUGCAUUACGAAAAGCACUCUCAGAAAUAAAAUUACCAGAGAACCAGGAGCCGAUGAUGCCGCAACUGGGAUGCACACCGUUGAGCCAUUUGUCCGCAAGCCUGAAUCCAAACUGGUUCGCGGAUUCAACGAUCGAGCAUUCGUCGACCCUUCGUUGAAUAUGGCACAGAAUGAGAGCCGGCUUUGACCCCCCUUCACUAUCUUCCUUAGCUAUCAGUUCCCUCGCAGUUCGAAAGAGUGGGGAGAUAGCGUCAAAAUUAUAAGUCACAUCUGUGCCGAUGAUGACAUCAAAGCCUGCUUCGCGACCACAAAUUUCCUUAACAGCGAUUAUAUCAUCCGUAUUUCCCCAGAUUAGCCUCUUAAUAAUCAUUUUUUCGAUCAAAUUUGGUUCUAGAUUUGACUCGAUAUUUUGUUUUAGGAGGUCAAGCGCUUCUAAAUCUCCGUCAGUUGCGACCACCUGAUGGGCAAAAUGAACGGCUACCAUCGAGCAAACACCGGCAGAGCCACAACCCAACUCCAAAACCCUUUUGCCGGCAACGCUGGAAGGGUUUUCUGCUAGUAAAUUGCACAUGAAGCGAGCAGAUUCCCAUACCAUAAGCCCCGUCGAUUUGCAUGUGUGCUGAUUUUCUUUGGGAAGUGCUUUUAUCUUGAAGGUGUAAUCAUUUGCUUUGAUCUCAAUGGCCUGUGUUUAAUAAUAAGAUAAUCAGAACCAUGACCAGAGUACAACAAAAAUUUAAUGUUGUUACCAACUUAAACAAGGAUAAUAGCAUUAGGAAGAGAACAUAUGCUAUUAAAGGAUGGUCAACGAUAUUGCCUACCUUAGUUUGGUAUAAGCCUUUUCUGUUAUUCUAGAUUACAGAAAACUUAGUUCAGUUGCAAGUUCAAACUUGCUUUGUAAGAUAGGUAGAAACUCUCGAACAAAAAAUAUAAUAUAUGAUAAAGAUAUCUUAUCACAUACAAUAAUAAGCUCAACUUCCACAAAUAAAAAAUAUUACGAGAUGAUUGCAAUUCUUAGAGCAUCCACCAAAGUUGAAAAGUGAUACCUCAUUAAUUGUGGGUGACAUGCCAAACAUGCUGCAUAUAUCCUCAGAAAGGUCGAUCUCAGGGUCGUUUCCGCCCUCCGAAGUUACAUUAGAGGAAGGCUCCGGCUCAAUAAUUUCUUGAUUAAUAAGAUUUAGCUUGUUGGUUGAUCUCUGAGAAUUGCUCGGCUUGAUGGUAUACACAGCUUGAAUCCAACGCCUGAGAUGAGAUAGAACACAGAUUGAUAAUUAAAAUAACAAAGAAAAAUAAUAAAUAAAUAACAAAUUAACCAUAAAAAAGUUCGAUUCUCUAACUUUACAGAAGUGAAGCAUUACUAAAACUUUUAGCAAGCUCAAACAGUUGCAGUUAUUUGCACUACAUAUGCGCACAACGAACUCCAAUCCGUAGUUCUUCAACUUUUAAUUUACAUUCAGACUAGCUAAACUAGAACAUACAAAAUAAUAAGAUUUCUUCACGUCCAGCAAUAUCAUUAAAAACGGUCCUUUAGGUAUUUUUGUAGCAACAAUUCUCAAAGACACUACGGCCCUAUUUGAGUGUCGGAAUAAGAUAACCAAAGAUAACUAUUUGACAUAAAGAUUUUCUUGUUUGAUUGGAAGCUAGGGAGUUUGCCUUUUGCUAUUUGAAAGGUCUUACCAUCCAUAAUAUGGUAGGAUAACAUAAUUCACCAACAACAUGAUUUAUCUUAUCCCGAGAUAAAUAACUUGAAGACAGAAAUGGUAUCCGUUCAAGACAUAUAAUCGCACUCCUUAUCUACCAAAUACUGCAUGGUUCUUGAGUAAAUCAAAGGGAUAUACCGAAUCAGAUGUUCGUACAUCCAAACUGGGAAAUACAUCUAAACGAGACCAUCACCUGUUCAUCACUAACUCCAGUGAUCGGUUCUCCACCUUUUUGUUAUGUAUGCCAAUUUCAUCAAGAUCAAACCCACUUUUUGUGAAUAAAUCUGUUAAGAAAACCUCCGAAAAGUAAAAUGCACGCUGCACAAAAUAUUACAGCAAGUCAUGGAAUGGUAAGAAAAUCUCAAUUUAGUUAAUUAAAAAAAAACUUUGAUCAGCUCAGCAUUACUUACUGUACCAUCACCUCUGACAAAGAAGUUCUCGCUUAUUUUCUGCUCCUUAGAUGUAAGCCUUUCCUGUAAGUUGUAGUUAACUGUUAAAGUGGUACAGAGAUUGAAAAAUCUAAAUUGGAAUUUAAUGAAAGAUAAGCGUCUUGAUAAACACCUAUCAUUCAUAAGCUGCCCAUUUGCUCACAUCUUCAACAUGAAAAUUACUGACUCUUGGGAGAAUUACGUACUAGCAACACAUGCAUUCAUUUAUUUCACAAUUGUAGACACAUUAUAUUUACUUCACCAUAUGAAGCUAUACCUACCAUUGAUACAUUAACAAUCAAAAGUUGAAUAUUCAUUAAAAGAAUUUCUCCUUGCUACUAAAACCAACCAACAAGGAGGACAUUAUUGAAGUGAUACAUGAUUUCAGGACAUUACUGAAGCGAUACAUGAUUUCAGGACAUUAUUGAAGUGUCACAUGAUUUCGAGGAAUAACUGCUACAGUGAAAAUUUAGCAUACUAGCAAAUUCAGAGUGUCCAGGAAUGAAGUUAAAUUGCUCUCAAAAAGAAGAUAAUACUGCACUGACCUGAGCAAGGUCGCCAAUGGCAUAAUCGCGAAAAAGCACAUGACCAUUUUGCUGUCGAAUAGUGAAAAGAAUAAGAGUUCCAUUUAGAAUUGAACCUAAGAUAUUUCAAGAAAGCUUAUGUAAACAACACUUACUUUUAGAACCUUCUUGAUAUUGAGCAAGACUAAAGGCAUCUUUUCAGGAGAAACUGCAGAAAGCACAAAAACCUACUUAAUCUGUCAGCAGCUGGUCACAUUUAAAAAAAAAAAAAAAUUCAAUCAUAUAAAGGGAAGAAAGAAAAGCUAACAAUUGUGACAGUGGAAGAACAGGAGGACAGAAGAGAUGUUAAAAUUAGUCAUCUACCAUGGUUACAAUGUCAACAGAAGAGGGUUCUAUUAUCUUGCUGAGAUCAUCUGUUGUAAGAUCACAGACGAAUGCAUGGACCUGAUCAGUUGUAAAGUCCUUGUGUCGCUGUGAUGAAAAUUAUGAAUAAGAAAGAAUUGGGAACAAAAAAAUCUACAUUUAUAUUAACAACAGUUGAAAACAGAUAUGUUGAUACAUUAAUACAUUAAUACGAGUCUUUUGAUGCAAAUGGUCAGGGAAUUAAAGCCAUUAGUAUUCAGAGUCUGAAAGACAAGGCAUCUUAUGCAAAGAUUUAGCAAUUUUGUCUUUCUGGUACAGAAUUUUGUGUGGAUAUAAUAUUCUAUUUUUGCCUUUUCAGAAGGCUCUUUUCAGAUAAUUAUUUAUUCGCGAGUCCUAUGUAAUAGGAUUCUAGCGAGAAGAGAUGCAUAUGUUACCCAUAAUAUAAUAAGCUAGAUACAGCAAAUAGUCAAGGACUCAAUGUUGUCUUAUACAUCAGACUCUUUGAAAUAUAUCUUCCCACAACAGCUGAUGUAAAUUAUACAAAAUUAAGCCUUAAAACACUUGUCCUAAACUAACUCAAUCUCGAAAAAGAACAGUCCUAUAAGUCAAAUGAAAUGUUCAAAUGUUAUCAAAACACUUGAUAUAACAUAUUUAGAUAAAUACACAGGACAAAAGAAAACAAAGUACCAAAUAAAAACAUUUAAACAGUAUAAAGGGACUAUUUACAAUAGAAAUCAGUAGAUCGCAGCCUUCUAAGAGUUGAUACAGAGGGAAAGAAAAAAAAAGCAAGGCAAAAAUAAGAAACAAAACCUUGACUAAGUCAAUGGCACGUGGCGAAAAGUCACAUGCAUGGACAAAAACAUCCGGAUACGUAGACAUUAAAGGGAAGAUUGUGUUUCCAGCUCCGCAACCAACCUGUCAUUCAAUCCAAUCAACGAAGUUUGAAAAGAGUAAACACAAUGAAAAACAAGAGGUAGAAAUGUUGUUUUAAUGAUAAAGAGUAAAGGUAAAUAUGGUUCUAAGAUAAUAAAUGAAAAGAUGGUCCUAAAAUAAGAUAAGAAAGACAUGAAAAUGAAGAAUGGAAGUUCAUUAUUCACAGCCAAUAAUUUGUUUUUUAUCAAAAGUACAAAAGAUUCCCGCAACAUGAAAGGAAUUCUUGCCAAAUGUCAUUCACCCUAAAAAAAUUAUCACAUGUGAAUUCUUCUGGUAUAUAUAGUUAUAACAAGUCAUUGAGAAACUAUUAGAGAAAGGCUCUUACACCAGAAGUUGCAUAAUCAAAUCAAUAGAGGGUUAGAAUUUGAAAGCCAGAAAUUGGUUAAUCUUUCCCACAAUGACCACGAACAUAGAAGAGCCCGAUUAUAAGAUAAUGAUAAAAGUAUCACUGUAUUUUGAAAGAGCAUAAAAAAAUCACAUUACUUCCACAUCAGUGACAUAUCAAUAUUUAAUUAGCUAAAUUGGGUUAUGGGACUUGAUUGCGAUGAUUUUACAAGGUUGAGUCAGAAACUGCAACCAAAUAAAGUUUGAGAACUAAAUUGUCACGUGCCUUAUAGUUUGAGGACCAAAAGUGUUAUUUAGCCAAUUUUAAAAGAAUAAAAUUCACUGGCUAUCCUUCGAUACAUUUGGUGCAAUAUAUAUAUAUAUAUAUAUAUAUAUAUAUAUAUAUAGAGAGAGAGAGAGAGAGAGAGAGAGAGAGAGAGGCUCCUAUACUAUCGAUAGUACUGGUGCUCCAAUCCUAUAGUCUUGUUUUCAACCUUAGAAUAUUCAAAUCAAUGAUCCACACCGUUAAAACUGAUCUAGGGUACUUGAAGUUUUUAGGAAGAAAAUUUUAUAUUUUUUUGACAUAUUUUACUUUAUAAUCAGACCGUUUCAAAAUUGUCAAAUUUUAAUGGCUACUGUGGCAAGUUUACAGUUUAACGAUGUAGAAGAAUCUAAAUUUAUUCAAAUUUUAAUAGAAAAUACUUUAAACUAUCUAGAUCAAGCUCAACAUCCUUGAUCUUGAAUUCAAAAGUCCUAUGCUCAAAUUUUAAAGAUUAUUCAAUUUUCACCUUUCAUUUUGACAUGAUUUACUUACUAAGUAGAGGAUAUAGAAAAAAACUAAAAUUUUAUUCCUAAGAAUUUCACAUACGCUAUAUCAUAUUUAACGGUGUGGAUCGUUAAUUUGAAUACUCUAAGAUCGAAAACAAGACUAUAGUACCGAAGCUCCGGUACUAUCGAUAGUAUAGUAGCCUAAUUCUAUAUAUAUAUAUAUAUAUAUAUAUAUAUGUAUGUAUAUAUGUAUGUAUGUAUGUAUAUAUGUAUGUAUGUAUGUAUAUAUGUAUGUAUGUAUGUAUAUAUGUAUAUAUGUAUAUAUGUAUGUAUAUAUGUAUAGAACUAGGCUGGAAUACUAUCAAUAGUACCAAGUUAUUGGUGCUAUUAGUUUUUUAGCCCUUAGAUUAAAAAAUGUGCGGUUAGGAUAAUGUGGGCCCCCCAGGGUUGAGUGGGUAGUUGGUUGAAUAGUAUAAUCUAACAGGUAAAAAUAAUCAAAAGAGUUAAUUUAACGGCAGAAAACUUGAUAUCACCAAGUGUUUGGUGCUAUCGAUAGCAUAGCAGCCGAACUCUAUAUGUAUAUAUGUAUGUAUAUAUGUAUAUAUGUAUGUAUGUAUGAAUACUAUUGUCCUUUUUGCUAUCAAAUUUUUAUCCUUUGGAUCAAUUCCUUUCAUCAUUUUUAAUCAUUGGAUUAAAUAUUCUAACACAAUAAGGACCACUCAACCCUAAGGGACUAAUAUCAUCAUAACCCUACAAUUUCUCGUCUAAAGGUUAAAAACUUGAUAGCAAAAAGAGCCUUUUGCUAUCAAUAGUAUUCUAGCCUAGCUCAAUAUAUAUAUAUAAUAUUAUUAUAUAUAUUAUUAUUAAUAUAUUAAGAGAGAGAGAUGGAGAGAAGGUUGAAGCCUUAGAAUAUUCUCAAAAGCACCAUGAGGUGGUGCUUUGAGUUUUAGCCAUUGGAUGGAGAGAGAUGUGAGGUUGAGAUGAUGGUGGUAGGUGGUGGUACGUGAAAUAGUAUUUGAUCUAAGGUAUUAGUAAAAAGGUGUAGAUCCAAGAGCCUAGAACAUAAAAGCACAAGGGUUGGUGCUUCUAAAAGUAUUCUAGCUCAAUUAUUUAUAUUAUAUAUAUAUAUAUAUAUAUAUAUAUAUAUAUAUAUAUAUAUUAGAAAAACCAUAAAUUUAGAACAAAAGAAGCAUCAAUACCUCCAAAACCACAAGCUUUUCUCCCUCCCUACCCUACAAGCACAAAAAGAAAUAUGACAUAAAUGCUAAUCGGGUUUCUUUAAAAUCCGAGAGAAACAUUACGAUUUUAACUAAAUCUAACCUGGAAAUAGCUGCCCCACUCCUUAUUCAAGUAGUGCCGAUCCUUAAAGAACUGCCCAAAUUAAGUAAUUACAAAAUCAAAGCUUGUUCCAAUCACCAAAUUAAACCAAAAAUAUAACAAAAUAAAGAAGUACCCGAUCCUGGUGGCGCCUAUAGAACACAUCCCAGUACCUCUUCGCAUCCCUCUCGUACUUCUCUGUUUAAGAAGAGGCGAGUAAUACGAGAGAUCGUAACAUAGGGUUUAACAAAAGAGGGGAAAUUUGUGGGGGUUUUUAGGGUUAGGGGGGACCGAGUACCUCUCCAAAAGGCGGUGACGAGCCUCGCAGAGGAGGAGGUGGGGGAGGGGUAUAUCUGAAUCGUCUUCUUCGCCUCGUGCUCCGCCAUGAUCGAGCUCCCGAGCACAAGCAGAGAGUACGGGAGAGAGAGAGAGAGAGAGAGAGAGAGAGAGAGGGGAGGAGUCGAGCGCGGAGUAAGGGUUUGGUCUUGCGAUCUCAAUGGGUACGGAUAUUCGAAAAUUUAUCCAAACCGAACCCGAAUAGAGACGGUUUUUUAUCUACAUAUUGGAUCCAAAUCCAAAGCCAAAAUCAAUCCGAAUCUGCAUUAAUUUUAUUUUAUAGAUAUAUAAAUUAUAUUUGAACUUGUAUUUUAAAAUUGUAUAUAAUAAUAUAAUAUAUUUUGAAAUAUGGUAAAUAAAAAUAAUUGCUUCAAGUUCAGAUUCGUAGUCGGAUAAAAUUUUAGAUAUAUGAAGAGUGGUUGUUAAUGUAUCAUUAAUUUCUUAAAUUUAGAUAUUUAUACAAAGUCGUACCAAAUUUAUCUAAACUAUAGGCAAAAUCAUAUUUUGACUUUAAAAUUUAAACUAAUUACUUAAAUGAAUUUAUAGUAACAAGAAUUGUACGAUGUAUACUAAUUAAAUCUAUAAUAAUAAAUGAUGCCUUUAAAUUUUAAAAUUAAAGCAUCGUUGACUUACCCAAAUUAAAUAAAUUGAAAUGUUAGACAAUAAAAUCAAAUUUUUAAAAUGUUAGGUAGCUAAACCAAAAUUGUCAAUAGUUCAGAUAAGUUCUGUAUAUUUGUCCUUAGCAGCAUUAAUGGCUGUGCUACCAAUGGUUUUGCUCUUUGUGAAUGCAUGGUAACCUUUUUUUUUCAAAAAAAAAUUUCUCUCUUUUUUUAAAAUUAUUAAAUUAGACAUUUGUAGAAUUUUUUUUAUAGAAUACCAUAUAAAAAACUAGUAUUUGACUAAAUAACUCCUUCAAAAAUUCAUUUAGCCAAUUGUCUAACUCAGAAUCAACGUAGAAUAAAAACUAAAAAAUAGCAAACGAUUCACCAUAUUUAAUAAAAUAUAAAAAGCAGAAAAUUAUUUAUAAUUUUUUUUCUUUAAAUAAAAAACGAUGAAUCAUUCACCGUUUCUUUCUUGUAUUCUUCUCUUACAAUUUAAUAACCCCACAAAAAUUUCAACAAUCAACAUAUAAUUCUAACAACCCACAAUACAAUCAUAACAACUGUUGCGAGCCGAUUUCCCUGGUUCUUGACCUAGUUAAAGAUCCUCCUCGGGGAGCGUGUCGGGAUACGGAACGACUGCGAAUAGUGAUUAUCGAAGUUUGCGUCCUUCGACUGGAUCAAACGAUUCGGCUGACGAGGGAUUAGAUCAGCUGAGCUCGAAAACUCUAUCAAGGAUUUGGUUCGGCUGGAAUGAGCCGAAUGUACGGACCAGCCACAGAUUUGACUCGGUAGGUGAGCCGAAUAGAAGAAAUACACACCAGUUGUUCGGCUUAAAGAGCCGAAUGCCUUUUCUUAUAUUGAAUAUAACUUAGGAGAACAGUACAGAGGUCGAGUGUGCCCGAAGGGCAUACAGACUCUGAAAAUCUAGAUUACAACAGAGUGUACCCGUGGGGUAUACAGACUCCAGAGAUCUAACUUAAAAACUACUCCUAGGAAAGUAAUAAAUGCGGGUAAAAAAGAUUAUAUGUAGACUACUUCUAGAAAACGAUAAAUGCAGGAAAGAAAAAUAUUAAAAAUACGGUGGUCUUCUCGUUCAGGGGAGAGAAAGACUCUUAUUAUAGGCUUCAAAGUUACUAUUUAUAAUAUCUUAUCAACCCACAUUAUUGGUUGGUUAUAAUAGUGGGGGAAGUGGUGUAGCCAUGAUCAUGGAAGUUACGCCCCACUUCUCAUGGAAGUUACGCCCCACUUCUCAUGGAAGUUACGCCCCACUUCAUAUGGAAGUUACACCCUACUUCUCAAUCGUUCCCGCCUAAACGCUCUUGAUCUUCAGGCGCCCUAUUGUCGACUCUUGAUGUACCACGUGUCUUUAGCUCAUAUGUGAGUUAGGCCGGCAUGUUAAUUUUAAUUUUGGCAUCAACAACAACAAAAUAAAAAUUCCAACUCGCAUACAAUCCUAAUAAUCAAUAUAAAAAUUUCACAAAUGACAGUAAUAAUUUAAAAUUUUCUAAAGAAGGUGAAUGGUUAUCACUUCUAAAGUUUUAUUGAACACGGUAAAUAAUUCACCUUCUUUCAGAUAAAAUAAGAUUAGUUUGUCAAUUAAAAUUUUCACGAGAUUAUUUAGCAAAUUAUAAAUAUUUUAAGAGUUAAUUAAAAAAAAAAGUCUAACAUUGUACUUCACUCAUUCAUCACCACUAGUGAAGGGUCCCGCGCGAUGCGACGGCGCGAUGCGGCGGGAAGACAAUAUAAUAGUAAAUUAUUAUAACUAUUAACAUCACUUUUUUUUCUAUUAUGCAUUAAUACUUUUCAAUAUUAUUUGUCUCGGUAUUGAAUAAUUAAAAAUUGAAGAAUAAAAUUAAAGUAUAUUUCUUUCUAAAAAUAUUUAAACCACAAAAAAAAUAUUGAGAGAAAAAAAUAAAAAAGAAAAGAUGUAGGGGUAUGUAAGAGAGAGUCAGGAAUCGAGGGUAAAAAAAAAAAAAAAAGACCUACCAAAGCCCCCGCCAAACGCGGGAGCUUCUGUGGGGUUUAUAUAAAUAUAUUAUAUAUAAUAAGUAUAUACAUAUAAGAGAGAGAGAGAGAGAACGAGAGAGAGAGAGAGAGAAGAAAAGAAGAGAGAAGAGAAGAGAGUCCGGUCUAUGGUGCUGUAAAAGCACCAAUCACUUGUGCUUAGUCGGUUUUUAAACGGACGUUAAGAUCAGCACUGUCGGAUCAUUUAACACCUGUAGAUAUUUGCACCACACACCUCAACCUAGGGCCCCUCAUCCUAACCAUAUUUUUAAUCCUAUCAAGCUUAAAAACUUACAAGCACUAAUGUCUUAGUACUUUUAAAAGCAUAGGAGCUCAAUCUAUAUAUAUAUAUAAUAUAUAUAAAUAUAAGGCUGAAAUACUAUUAAGUAAAACGACUCUUUUUCUAUCAAGUUUUUUCCAACCUUUGUUGAAAAAUUGUAGGGUCAACGGACGAUAUGUAGUCGUUAGAUUAGAUGGUCCCCCUAGGUUGAGUGGUUUCCCCAACUUGGUUAUAGUAUUUAAUCAAUGGUUAAGAAAUAAUAAAAAGAGUUGAUCCAAAAGGCUAAAACAUCUGGUACAAACAUAAAUUUGCUACUAAUAGUAGGCCACGUCCAACUAAUAUAUAUAUAUAUAUAUAUAAUCUGUUAUAUUAGUAUAUAAUAUAUAUAGAGUAAGUACUACUAUCUACGAAGCAUAAAGUAGUCCUGAUGGCUCCGAUUUUUUAGCCCCCUUAGAUCAACGCCCAUUGAUUAUUCUAACUAUGUGAUUAAUUUUUAACAAUAAGGACGCACUACAACUCUAAGGGGGACCACAACCCUAACAAGGGACCGCAUCCAUCCCAAUCGUAAGAAUCUUGAUCAAAACUUAAAAAAUCGAAACAGCAACUAACUUUAAAUAAUUCUGAUAGCAUAUAGCUACACUAAUAUAUAUAUAUAUAUAUACUAUAUAAUAUAGUAUAUAUAUAAUAUAAUAUAUAUAUAAUAUAUAUCUAAUAACAUACAUAAAUUGAAGGAUAAGGAAUUCUUCACUUGAAAUUUUAGAUAAUUUCAAUUUUGUCAAAAAAAUUUGUGUAUACCUAAGUUGUGGGUAACAUACUAAUAACAUAUAGCUAAGCUGCGCAUGCAUUAAGACAUACAUUUGAAGUUUCAAAUUAUUUAUAUCAAAAUUGAUAUGAAUAAUUCUUUAAAAAAUUGUAUGGGCCCCACAACCCUCCAAAAUAAGGAGAGGCUUUCUUUAGGGUUACCAAUUUAUAUAUGUUUUGAGGACUAAAGUGAAAAGCAUACAAAAUUUAAGAAUCAAAAUUGGCAUGAAAAAAAAGGUUGAAUAGGCGAUGACAUAAUAAUUUCAAUAAUUUUAAAAUAUUUUUUAACUGUUGUUAUUUUUGUCACGAUGAAAUUAAGAGGUUUGAAAACUUAAUUGCAAAAAAAAAAAGAAACCAAAAUAAAAAAUGGUGGAAAGUUUGGGUAGCACUAUACAAUUAAUCCAAAAAAAAUCUCCAAAAAUUUGUGGGUCUCACAACCCCAUAAUAAAGAGAGGCUUUUUUUGGGUUCCAAAUUGGAUAAAAUUUUAAUUUUGCUAUCUAUAGUAAAAAUUAAAAAAAUUAUUUGUUAUAGGCAAAAAUAAAAAAAAUGCUGAGGGAAGAAAAAUAAAAAAAGAAAGUAAGAGAGUGAGAGAGAGAGAGUGAGUGUGUGAGAGCCUGACAGAGAGGCAAAAAAAAAAAAGAAAAAAAAGAGAAGGUGGGACCCAUGGAAGCUCCCCACCAAACGCAAGGAGGCUUCGGUGGAUACCCAAUUCAUUACAUAAGAAAUUCUUCCCUGUAUCCUUUAUUUUAGCCUCUCAAUAAACAAAAAUAUUUGGGCUUUAAACUAUCAUGCAUGGAUAGGGAUGUCAAUAGGUAUGGAUACCAGAAAUUUUAUCCUAAUCCGAACCCGAAUGAAACGGCUAUAUCCGAUGCUAAAUGGAUAUGGAUUCGGUUAUGGAUAUUAAAAAUAGAAAUCCGACGGAUAUAGAUUCGGAUAUAGAUUUUGACAGUACCCAACUUGAACCCGAACCCGACCCGAACCCGAAUUUAUUUUGUAUUUUAUAUAUAUAUAUAUAUAUAUAUAUAUAUAUAUAUUGUUAUAUUUGAAUUUGUAUUUUAAAAAUUUAAAUUUAAUAUAAUAUAUUUUGAAAUAUUGAAAAAAGAAAUAAUUGUUUCNAAAUUUAAAUUUAAUAUAAUAUAUUUUGAAAUAUUGAAAAAAGAAAUAAUUGUUUCGGGUUCAAAUUUUCGGGUUCGGGUUUGGGUUUCGGAUUAUUGGUCGGGUUCGGGUUUGGAUAUGGAUUUUUAAAAUCUGUCGGGUUCGAAUUCGAGUUCGGGUCUCGGGUUUGGAGUCAGGUUCGGGUUCAGAUUUUUAAAAAUCCGCCCCGAAUCUAGCCGGUUGACAUCUCUAUUCAUGGAGCAAAGAGCCUAUAAAACAACCAAAGGCUUUAGGGUUUGCUACCCAUAUAUAAUUGGAAAUUCUGCAGAAAUGUAAUUUUUUUAAGUAAAGUAGAUAGAAAAAGCCCUAGCCUAUUUGUAGGCAAAAGUUAUGAUAGAAGAGAACACAUGCAUCUAAUAAAUAAAGGACUGGGUGGUUGGUACCCGAGAUCCCAAGUUCGAAUCCUAGUUAAGUCACAUUUCCAGCUAAGUUUAUUUCCAAACGAAAUAAACGAAGCAGGUAGCGUGCUAUCUAUCUCUCAAAAAAUAAAUAAAUAAAUAAAUAAAUAAAGACUACAAGCCAACUCAGUACUCAAAAUUUACAGAAGUGAUUGGUGCAGAUGAUUAUUUAGGUUGCUAAUAGCAUGAUAGAGCUGUAAUAGUUGUUUUCUCCAAAGAAAAAAACAAAAGAUGUAAUAGUUGUUAUCUUAAAACAACAGCAAUAAACAAUAUUGCAAUAGCUGUCGAGGCUACUCCUAGGUUAUUUUCUAUCAGAUCGAUAUAUAUAAUGGAUUACAGAGUACGUAUUAGAGCUUUUACUAUAACAAACAAACUAUAAUGAGUUUUUUAGGCUUUGCAAAGAAAAGAAACUCGUACUCAAAUAUUUUGUGUUUGUAACAACCUAGGUUAGUAUUUUAUACAUUGAUCUUUAGACUCUUUAUUUUUGUAUUCUACUCUGUCAUGUUACUCAUAUGUAAAAAGACCCUUAAAAACCAAUACUAAAAACUUGAUGAUGAAAAAGUAUUGAUUAAUUAGCUACACUUAUCAAAAAGAAAUAUAUUUGUUGUAUAAGUUUAAUCUAAAAGCAUGACAAUUAGUACUUCGUUUGCACGCGAUUAGUUGCAAUAAUUCUAUAUAUCCUUGAUCUCCUUUAUUUGCAAUAUUAUAUACAUGAUAUAAGUUCAUAUGUCCAUUCACUAGCCACAAACUUUAGCUUAUUUUAGUGCAACUAAACGUAAUACCAACGCACCUUGUUACUUAAAGCGCUAUUGGAAAUAAAAAUGUUGAAUAUAAAUAUUAAAAACAAUAUAAUUUUAACAUAAAACUAUCCUCUUUGAUGCCCAUAAUAUAAUACUAAUUAGUCACCAAGACAGAUAAAAAACCAUAUAUGUAACAAUAGAUCCUUGGGACUUCAUGUUUGGUCCUAUUUAUUGUAGCAUAGUGUUCGAUUAAGUAUUAAUUAUUUAAUUUAAACUAUUAAACGAAGCAUUUAGAUAAUUUCUUAAUUGGAAAUUUCAAAUUGGAAUUUCUCUUAAAAUUUCACUUUAAAUUUCAUUCCCGAAUCUUAAACAAAUGCUUUAUUACAAGUGAUUAUAAUUUCAAAUACUGAGAGAAUUCAGAUAUAUAUAAAUAUUACGAGAUAAAGUGAGAGAACAUAAGCAUUACAGACACUAACACGGGACACCGACUCGGCUGCUUUCAAAAAAUUAGAACAUGAACAUGAUAUGGACACCACUAAUAAAAUAUAAUAUUAUAAUAUGUAUUUAUUAUAUAUAUAAUAUUAAUUUUGCUAAAAAUAAUAGUUCAUAUGUUUUUAAAAAAUUAUAUAUCAUAUAUAAUUUAUCUAUAUUGUUCAUAAAAUACCUGUAUACAUUUAUCAAAAAACUAAAAUAUUUAUUAUCUAACAUUAUCUAUGCAUAAAAAUGCAAAAUAGAAAUAUCAUGUGUAUAUUUUUUUAAUUAAUUGUAGCGAUAUGAACCAGCAUUGAACGCGCCUGCAAGGCAUGUCUAUGUAGGCCGGACUCGAGUCCGACGCGGAGACACAAGGUUUAUAGAAGUAUCUAUGAUAUAUACAUAGGGGAGAAUAUAAAGCAUAAUUAUAUUAUAAUCUAAGAGCAACUAUUAUAAAUCAGAAUAUAUUGUACUUUUUAAUAAACAAUUUGAGGGAGAUUAAUAUAAAUGGCUCCAAGAUUACUACAAAUAGAUUAUCUAAAUGCAUUCAUUUAUUUUCAAAUAUAUAUGAUUUUGUUUUUCUCACAAAAAAAAGGAAAAAAGGGAAUAUUUAAUUCUAUAUCUUAAUAUAUAAUGUAAUUGAUGUUAGAUUUUAAUUGUAAUUCUAUGGUCCCAGAGAAUCUUCUUAUGUUUCUUAUCUUUUAGAAAGGGUGCAAAAUAUAAUGCAACUUGAGCACAAAAUGCACCUCACAACCAUACAUUAAUUUGCCUUCUUUUAUUUCUCCUUUUCUACCUUCUCUUUUGUUUGUUGUAUUAAAAUAAUAUUUGGUAGGUUAAACAUUAAAAGGUUGAUGCAAGUAAUUUUAGGUGGCAAUUAGUUUGUAAUUAGGUGAAAAUUUUGGUGUGAAUUAUGUCUAAGCCUCUGAACUAAGCAAUUGAAAAUUUUUUCUUUUAAAAAAAAACUUUUUAUACAAUGUGCUCUAUCAUAAAUAAAGUUUUAAUUUUCUAUACUGUGUCAAUAAUUACUUCACAAAUUCAGUCUCUUUUCCCUUUAAUUACCAAACUUAUCAAAAUUGGUGAAUUAUAAUUAAACCUUAAGAAAUAGAGCAUAUACAUGAUCUCUUUAUCAUCCUAGCGGAAAAAAAAAAAGAGAAAAACAAAGCAUUCAAUUUAAACAUCUAAACAACUUAGAAAUGAGAAAAUAACCAUCCUUGAAACUUGUUGAUUAAAACUCUCUCAUUACAUUUCUUUUUAUUUUUUUGCUCAAACUGUAAACACAAAGUAUCGAAAUCGAUUAAAAUCACAUCUCACUCAAUCUCAGAUCAACAUAGUGGUCACUCAAAUCACAAGUACUACAAACUUGAAGAGAGUAAAAAAAAAAAAAAAGACAGUACUAAUAAUACAAAUAGUAGGAAAAAAAAAGGAGAAAUUGAUUAAAGGGAUAUGUAGCCACAAAAGCCAAGCAUGAGACUUGCCUAUUAACUCCAACAAUAGUAAUACAUUAAGAAAUAUUGCUGUAGCCUUCUUGUUUAUAGCUGUACCAAUAAUCCUUCGCUAGACCCCUCCAUAAGAAACUCCAAUUAUCUCUCGUAGAACCACUCUUGCACCAGUUAGAACCAAUUUUCGUCGCCAUCGAUCGAUGUCGAACCGGAGGGUUUUACCGUAGAAUAUUCGGAAGUGCUUGGAAAAAGAUGAUUUUUGAUACUUUAUGUUUGAUAUAUAUACCAAGUUUAUAGUAGUAGUAGUUGAAUAUAGGAGGAGAGGAUGAUGAGGAGAAGGAGCAGGAGAGAGGAGGAUGGUUAUAUAUACAUCCUCUCCUUUUCAGAAGAGAUAUUUUAGAAGAGAUGGAUAUAUGUUUAUGUAUGUUUAUAUAUAUAGAAGCAUUUAUGUUUGUGACUUUUUAGCCAUUGGAUCGUCUUAAGAUCUGCGCAAUAUUAUUAACGGUGUGUCACGUUAAGUCUUCUUUAUUAGUGCUGCACGGAUCUUGAGACGAUCCUACAACUAAAAAUCACAAAGCACCAAAUGCUCCUAUGCUUUUAAAAGCACAGAAGCUCAGCACUCUCAAUUUCUCUUUCUAUAUAUAUAUAUAUAUAGGGAAAGAGAGCUAGAAUUGUAUGCUUUUAGAAGUACGAUGGUCUUCAUGCUAUAGUCAUUUUCAAUACUGAGACUUUUGAAUCGAUGAUCGACUUCAUUAAACUUGAUCUAAAAUAUUUGAACUAUCUAGAAAAUAAAUUUUACAAUUUUUAAGUAUUAUUUACCUAAUGAUCAAAAUGGCCCAAAAUCAACAAUUUUAAUAAUUAUAGUGAGCCAUUUGCAAGUUUAACUACGGUAUAGAAAAUCCAAACCACGUAAAAUUUUGAUAAAAAAUUCUUUACACUAUAUAAAACCAGAUCAAUAUUUUUUAUUUAAAAUUUUACUGUCAUAUCAUCACUUUUUGUGAGAUUUUUAUUUUUCAACCGUAGAUUUUGAUAUCGAAAAAUCACACAAAUUUAUUUUUUAGAUACUUCCAAUAUUCUAAAUCAAAUCUAUUGGAGCCGAUCGUCAAUUCAGAAGUCCAAACAUCGAAAAUAACUUGAUAGCACGGAUGCCACCAUGCUUCUCAAAGCACAUAUGUCGGACACACUCUCUUUCUCUCUCUCUCUCUCUCUCUCUCUCUAUAUAUAUAUAUAUAAUAUAUAAAUAAACAAGUAGUCUCUCUCUCUAGGUCGUGGUUAUUAUACUAUUAUGAGUAUUGGAGCCCUCGUACUCAUAAGCUGUUUUCAAUGAUGGAGCUUCCGAAUUGACGAUCCACUCCGUUAAAUAUGAUCUAGAGUAUUUGAAACUUCUAGAAAAUAAAUUUCGUAAAUUUUCAAAAUCAUAAUAAAGUCCAUCAAGUGGGCAUAAAAUGAACGGUCAAAAUCGAACGAUGUCCUAAAAAAGGAUGAUCGGAUCCUUCAAUUCAAGAUCGGAGUUAUUGAUCUUUAUCUAUGUAGUGAAUAGAAUUUUCUAUCAAAAAUUCAACAAAUUCUGAUUCUUUUAUACCGUUAAACUAGCAAGUAUCCCAUACCGGCCAUUAAAAAUUGUCAAAUUUGUGAUCUCUCGAUCGUAAGGUAAAUGAUAUCGAAAAUUUAUAAAAUUUGAUUUCUGAAAGUUUUAAAUACUGUAAAUAACGUUUAACGGUGUGGAUCGUCGAUUCGGAAGCUCUAUCAUCGAAAACAACUUAUGAGUACGAGGGCGAUCGUACUCAUAAUAGGAUAGUAGCCGGACCCCCUCCCUCUCUCUAUAUAUAUAUAUAAUAUAUAUAAAUAAACAUGUAGACCCACAUCUCAUUGGCUUAUAUAUAUAUAUAAUAUAUAUAAAUAAACAUGUAGACCCACAUCUCAUUGGCUUAAAAGGUGGAGAAUAAAGUUAGAAAAAGAGAAAGAGUACAAAUGCAAAUGAGGCUUACACCUCAUGGUCUCCAUUAUAUUAUUGUCAACUAUAUAGUCCCAUGAGUAUUUUUAGGGGAUAUGUACCUAGUGGAGUUGAUGGAAUCCAAAAUGAAAUAAAGAAUUAGCAGACCCCUAAAGUUUUAUUUUAUUCAUUGACAUCUUCUUAACUUACUAACUUUUUUAUUUGAAUUAUUGCACAAACUUAAGUUGAAGAUUUUAUUAAAUUUAAUAGUACUCUAUAUAUUAUCUAUUAUCAGUUAAUUAUUCUGAUUAUACUUGCUAAAAGGUGAUUAAGGCUAUAAAAUUAGAUAAACCUUCAUACUCAUGAUUUUAACAAAAAAAAAAAAUCUAAGUUAGUUGGCUAAAACCAUUUAAUUAAUUCAACAAAAGAAAGAAAAAAAAAAAAAACUAAAGUCUUAAUUAAAGAGGAGAUCAAUAUUAAAAAUAAUAAUAAUAAAGUUGAGGUGGUUAUUUCAGAAUGCAAUGUAGUUGAGGGGUCUCCACACAAUUUUUUUCACAAUCCCUCUUGUUAUGUGUGGUGUUUAAAAUGGUAGGAUCUUUUAGCUAAACAUGCAUGUAUACUUUAUAUAAUGGAAUCCAUUGUAGGAGGUCAUUGUUCAAAAACAGUGGAGUAUAUGGUUUUUGUGCCAUCCACUAAAAAUGAUAUGUACCUUUUUUUUUCCAAUGAUUUAAAAAUAGGAUCGGACCGGUGAUUUGAUUCGGUUCAACUCUUUAAAUCAAAUAAGUCAAAAAAGUACUUUAAAUAGUUUGAAGUGGCGCUUCAAUCAUCAAACUGGUAAAAAUUUUAAUCAAACUGAUUGAAUUUUUUUAAUCAAAACAUUAAAAUCCAAUGGCUUAAAAUCUACUUAGCUUAUUUUAUUUUCUGUUUGCAAUAUUAGUUUUAUAAAAAGUGAAACUUGUAAUUUAAUCUAGGAAUUCAAUAUUUUAUAAUUAAAUAAAACAAAAUUAAUAAUUAAAUUUCUAUGAUGUCGUGCUGAUAUUUUCGGUUUAAACAGUGAUGAACCACAAUUGGUUGAAUAAGUGAUUCUUAACCAAGUAAUAUUUUUGGGUCGUUGUUUGGCUCGGUUUUUAAAUAUUACUUUUUUUUUGAAAGAAGAAAAAGGAUAUGUUGCAUCAACAAAGGAACAAGAGUAUGUGUUGACCACCAAAAAAAAAGGUAUGGAUUAAUUUUAUUAUUAUACUAAGAUCAAGCAUAUCCAUACACUAUUGGUGUUAAAAGGUUCUCUUCUUGUGGUUUAUUACUAGUAUAAAGUAGUAUGUGUUUUGCACUGAAAUAUCUAUGCUAAUUAAUUGCAUUUAACUAGAAUGAAUAAAUUAACAAAAAUCUCCCUUGGAAAAUUGCCACUUGCACAAUAGUCUCCUUAACAAUUAUCACAUACGCUAUAUCUAGAGCUAGGCUGGUAUACUAUCGGUAGCACAGAGGCCUCCAUGCUACCAAGUUGUUUUCAAUAAUGCGGCUUCCAAAUUGACAAUCGGCUUCGUUAGACUUGAUCUACACUAUUAAAAGUAUUUGAAAACUAAAUUUCAUAAUUUUUCGGCAUCAUUGGACUAGUGAUCAAAAUAUCUCAAACUUGACAAUUUUAAUGGCAGAUGUGAUGCGUUUGUGAAUUUAACAGUGUAAUCUGAUGAAAUUUUUAUAAAAUUUUUUUUUCACUAUUUAGAGUAAGAUCAGUGCCUCUGAUCUUAAAUUCAAGUCUUUUAUCAUCAUUUUUUAUGAGAUUUUUAUUUUCAGCUAUUCAUUUUUAGACUACUCGUUUGAUAGGUAAAUGAUGCCGAAAAAUUAUGAAAUUUAGUUUUCAAAUAGUUUCAAUAGUGUAGAUCAAGUCUAAUAGGGCCGAUCGUCAAUUUGGAAGCCGCAUCAUUGAAAACAACUUGGUAGCACGGAGGCCUCCGUGCUACUGAUAGCAUGCCAGCCUAGCUCCUAUAUCUAUGCAUGACAUUAUUACUCAUUCCAAUCUAAUCUGUCUCCUUUUCUGUUUCUAUCAGAAAAUAUAAAAUAUUACUAAAAUCAUCUUUUAUCUGUCUAAAUACUUCUUUUACUCUAAGGACUAGGUAGACUCUACCAUAAAAGAAAAUUCUCAUAAAAUCAAAAGUUAGGUUUUUGCUAUGCUAUGAUCAUAUUACGAAACUCCGAAUAUUUCAACAGCAAUUUUCUACGAUUUAAUCUACCUUUUCUUACCCCAUAAUGAGUCGAAUUUUGUAUUUCAUAUUGUAUAUAUUUGUUAAUAACACUAGGUAUAUUGUUUUUACUUGUGCAAUUAUUUCAUGUUGCUACUUAAUUAUUUCCAAAUAAUUGGUAAAAAAUGUAGACCUCCAUCAUUUUUUAUAAAAAAAAAAAAAAAAGAAAUUGGAAGCCUCUCAGUUUUGAAUUAUUUUGCUUCGAAUUAUUUGAUUCAAAUAUGAUUUGGAGAUUCAUAAAAAUGAAUGGCUAUGUUAGCUAUACCAGUUCAAAAUAUUCACAAUUAAUGAAUUUCAACUAAAGAAAUAUUGAGAAUAAUUAAAAAUUUACUAGGUUUGUUAAUAAUCAAAAGGAAAAUUGGAGAUCAUGAGUCUAUUUCAAAAUGACCUGUAUGUGAGGGGGUCCAUGUACACUUUUAUCUAAAUAAUUGUGAAUUAAUAAAUCAAUAACAGAUGCAUGAUAAUCACCAUUAAAUUGUGUUUUACAAAUCAAAUAAUUAAUAUUUGGACACUUUUGAUAAACUUAAACUACACCACUAAUUUGUCACCUUUUGUAAUUGUUUUUUUUUCUAUGGCCUGCUUCAAGAAUUUGCGCAUGUUACCAACUCUUUUGUUAGGUACAAAUUUGUGGUUGAUAUUUUCAUUGAAAAGAACAAAUCUUUAGUAGGUAUUAACUGAAGUUGCUGUCAUUAAAGAUUGUUGCAAUCUAGUGAUGGUCAUAUACAAAAGUGAGUUUUUUUUUUUCUUUUUUUUAAAAAAAAAAAAGGUUGAGGAGGUAGAAGGGGGAGAUUAAUUAGUUUGUGAUGGCAAAAAUUGCUGUGAUCAAAUUUAUCAAAUCCCAAAUUCUUUCAAAAAAAAACCCUCUAAAUAGCAAUGAUUUAUAAAUCGGACUGAAUCAAUCGGUCCGAUCGUAACCCAGUCUAUAAAACAUAUCAGUUUAACCCUUUGAGCUGGAUAAGUCAAAAAACUGCUUUGAGCCGUCUGACUCAGUGGUUCAACCAUUGAACCGGUAAACCAAGCUGUUUUUUAUCAAACAGGCGAAAUUUUUUUUAUCCAAUCAUAUGAAAAUGCAACGGUUUAAAAUCAACUCGGUUGAUUUUAUUUUCUAUUGGCACGAAUUAUUCUUAUAAAAUGUGAAAUGUAAAAAUUUAUAUCUACUUAAUUUGGUCUAAAAAUUAGCAUUUUAUAAUUAAGUACAGUACUAGAAUAAUAAUAUUAUAAGUAAGCAUUUAUGAUGUCAUGCUGACGUCACUAUUUGAGUCAGUGGUUGACCCACUAAUUGAAUAAAGAGUUGUGAGAAUUAAGGUUAAGGUUAAUAUUUACAUCCAACAAUUAAACAAAUUAAAGGGCCAAUGAAUUGUUUAGUACAUGCAAGGAACAUUAAUUAUUAACAUACACAGUUCUUAAUAACAAAGACAAAUAAAGAGUUGUGAGAUGCAGAAAGAGAGAGAAGGGGGGGGGUGAGAAUAUUGAAGGGGAGCAAAGCAGCACUGCACUGCACUGCAACUAAGCAAGAAGCCAGAAGUUCUUGUGGGUCUUGGUGUUGAGCAGAUAGCCUGCAUUUUGGCCCUUCUUUUGAACUCCAACACACAGGCACUUGCUGUGCUCUAUCAGGAAUUCUGCAGUGUCUGUCCCUUUGCUUGACAUGCUUCCACUCAGUCUGCACCUGUGUAUAUAUGGAUACAAGGAUCCAAAAAAAAAAGAACCAAAAAAAAAAGAGAAAAUAUAUAGCAGAGAAAAAAAAAUUAAUAAAAUAGAGAUCAACAUACAACAUGUACAGUUAAGGGUAAAAGAUGUACAAGAGAAAUAAAAAUAUGCAUGCAUGUAGUAGGUACGUGCGAAAUUACAGGGGUAGCAUUUGAAGUUUACUCUAAAUACAAUAAUCACAAAACACUUUAACUUUUAAGAUGGGUAAAACAUUUUUUUAUUUAAUAAUAAAUAAAAAUAUGCAUGCAUGCAGAUAGUGAGGAAGCUGAAAAAUACAGCAAAAAAAUUUUGUUUAAAAAUUAUAAUAGGAUGUAUAAAUUUUAGCGGCCAAAUAUGAUUGGUUGAAGACACCACAUCAUCAAUAUGAUUAUGAUAGGAAUAAAAAUCUUAUGCGGACAUCUUUUCUGAAUAUCGAAAUAUGAUGGACUAUGGAUUGAACUAUUUAGUCGUGAGUGUGACAUCGUCGGCAUUAAUCAUUAAUUCUAAAAAUUUGAGUUGAUAGAUAUAUGCAACCAAUUCAGUUAAAGUGUACAGACAUGUAUAGUAUUCACGAAUCUCGAUUGUGAUUCGGCCUAAUCAGAAUCAUGCCACUUUGAUUAUGACGGGCACAACAACCCUGCUUCACGUCAUUUCGAACCCAUAAAAAGGUUUGUUGGGAGAGUACGUGUGUAGUAGGAACGUGCGUACAUACCCGAGGAAGGAGGAGGAGGCAGCGGAGCGGCGGCGUUGGCCGAUGACGAGGAGGUCGACGCGGAGGGCGUUGGCGUGGGCGAGGAUGGUGCGGGCCUUGUCGAGCCUGCAGCCCUCCUCCGUCGACCCCGACCCGGCGAGCACGCGCUGCACCCAGACGCGCACCCGCGGCAGCCUGCCGGCGCACGUCGCCCUCAUCGCCUCCAGGAACUCGCAGCUCUGCCGCUCCCCGCCGUCCGCCCCGCCCGGCGAGUGGGGGGCGCGGCGGAGGAAGGAGGAGAAGGAGGAGGAGGUGGUGAAGGCGGAGGCGGAGGUGUGAGGAAUCAGGGGAGGGGGGUCGACGUGGAGGAGGAGGAGCUCGUCGUGGUCGAGGACGGCGUGGGAGAGCGCCCACUCCAGCGCGCCCGCAGACUCCCUCCCCGGGUCCGCCACCACCAUCACCCGCCGCUUCGCCGCCGCGCCGCCGCCGCUCAUCACCACCGCCGCCGCCGUCGUCGUCGUCUUCUCCGUCGACGUCGAUCGCCGCCUCCGCCGCAGCUACCUGCGCUUGCAUGCAGAGGAGGCGCGCGCGCGCGCGCGGGGGCGAAACGACGGGGUGGGGAGGAGUUUUGGUUGGUUGGUUCGGUUCGUUCCGUUUCGGUGUUUGCCGGAUUAGGAAGAGGGGCCCGCGGACGGGUGGUGGUAAUUGGCCGGUUUGUUGGGACCCGCUUGGUCGCUGACGUGGUCAACGCCCGUAUCUGAUAGGUUGAGCUAAGCUACUGGAGAUUUUCUAAGACAAUGUCACAAUAGGAGGUUCAAAACGUCGUUUUCUACUGACUUGUGAAGAGGUUCAAAAACGUCGUUCAAAAUGAAGCUUAAGGGCAUUACAGAGGUGCAAUGCAUGCAGCUCCCGUUCAGAAAAAUAUCUUUUUUCUUGGUACCCCAGAUAUGACUUAAUGAUACUUUCUGUGAUAUCUAGGAUACACCUUGUGAUGCCCCUCUAUUUAUAGGCUGAUUCUCCUAUGCUUCUGAAAAUAUGAAACAUUUCGUAUUUUUAAAUUAUUUUUUAUGUUAGGACUUUUGAAUCAACAAUCGGCUCCGUUAGAGCUCAAAAUCAACUGCUGAAAAUAAAAAUCUUAUAAAAUAUGAUGAUAUGACAUUCAAAUUUUAGAUCAAAAAUAUUAAUAUUAUUUUAUAUAAUAUAAAAAAAAAUUAUCAAAAUUUUAUAUAUUUGAAUAUUUCUACACCGUUAAACUUACAAACGGCUUACCACAAUUAUUAAAAUUAUUAAUUUUGAGACCCUUCAAUCAUUAGGCAAAUAAUAUCGAAAAAUCAUGAAAUUUAUUUUUUAGUUACUUCAAAUACUUUAAAUCAAGUCUAACGGAGCCGAUCGACGAUUCGAAAAUCCCAACACCGAAAACGAUUUGGAAGCACGAAAUAUUUAGUACUUUCAUAAACAUACCAGCCUCACUCCUGUUAGAUGUGUUGUUGCAUACUUGCUAUGUAAACUUAUCUGCAGUUUGAUGUAUUCAGCAUUACAACAUAUUUUAUAGCUUUUCUAGAGACCGAGCGGAUCAAUAGAUGUACUCUUUAGCAAGCAUUCGAAAGAACAGCUUUGCUAUUUCGAGAAAUAACAGCAAGCAAAUAAAAUUACUGGAGCUUUUACUGCCGCAAAGAGCUAUAAUAAGCUUCAGGCUUAGAACUAGGUCGAAGCUUCCGCAUCUACUGCAUCACAAGAGCGGAUUACAGUGCUAUUUGCACUUCUUGGAGAAGUGUCUCCAAACAAUGCUUCAGCUGAAGCACCUCAGAACUUAAAAAUCACAAUCGAAACUCAGCACCUGCCAAUCGACCACUUCAGCCUGUUUUAGCUCCACUUUUGCAGCCCAAAAAUGCACAAAAAUACGGCGCCAUCACCUGCUAUACAGCGAAGCACCCAUUUGUUGCUUCGCUUUCAGUACGAUAUCCGCUUCGGUAGCGAAAAAUCGACAUACUUAGCAAUGUGUUGCUGAAGCCACUUUCUUUAGAAGCUGAAAAGCCAAAGAAAGUAGAGUUCAGAAGCAGCCAUUCAUAUAAGCAGAUAAAAAGAAAUCCGAUAUCUUGAUUUCAAGCCAUAAAAUUCGAGAUUAGAAAAUCACAGCAAUACUAAUAAGAAUUGCCAGCCAAAAGAAGAUUCAUAUACUUGCACAACAGUUUUAUUUCUCAGCAUUGGAAAAUUUAUGUAGUUUGAGGAUCAAUGUUUUAUGCAGCAUAAAAGAAAAAAAAAAUGUCCCGACAAACCUCUCUCCAGUGAGAUUGCACUGGGUGAAGAAUCGAUCUCACCCUCAAAAACCCUAAUCUACAAGUUUUCAAUUGAGUAAAAUUUCGUAAAAGAAAAUUUUCUUUUCUAAAUUAGUAAUCCAUUCCUCCCAUGCCGCCGCCCAUUGCAGGAACAUCCUUUUCUUCUUUCGGUUGUUCCACAACAAUAGCUUCAGUGGUUGUCAUAAGAGAUGAAACACUGCAGUAAACAAAUAACCCAAAAAAAAAAAGAAAAAAGAAAAAAAAAAAGAGAUAAGAUAAAACAGAAGAAAGCACAAAUUAAGCAGAUGCAAUUUAUAUGUCACGCUGUGACGCAGCAACAUAUAGUUGGACAUGCUGCCGUAAGGUAUUCAAUAUAUUCAUAUGCUACAGCAGGCAGUGUUUUGUUCAUCAGGUAGUCAAAGUGAUAUAGAAAAUGCAUUAAACAACAGAAAUUAGAGGAAAUGCAAAUUCAAUUUCCGAGCAUUCAAAGAGACUUGAGUGUGAGUUGCAUAUAUAUCUGGUUAGAUGUCUUAUGGAAUGUUUGGUUUCAUUGAUUCACUUUUGCUGGUCGCAUGCCGAACUAACCGAUAAUUAUGUUACUGAAAAAGGUUUGUAAUAUCUAAGUAAAUGUCCAGCUAUUGUAAAAUUGCGAUCAGGUACCACAAAAUCCGCUCAUCCCUUCUCUGUUAAAAACAGCUGAUAUAUUAAACUACCUGUCCUGCUUUUCCUUCCUAAUAUUGUGAAAACCAUUAUGUCUGCAUCACAUAUGGAUUCUUUUUCAGGCUCAAUAUUUACUAAAUGCUUGCAUCCAAUUAACUGAAUAAUAAGGAUAUACAUAAAUACUGAAGCAACUCUAGGGUGAAAAAAGUUACCUUGCCGCAUCCACUAGUGCAGUUCUAAUCACCUUCAAUGGAUCAAUGAUACCUGCCUUGACCAUGUCCACAUAUUCACCUGGAUAAAAAGAAAUGAACAAAAAUAUGCAUACAUCAAUAUUUUAAAACUGAAACAAUCAGAAAAAACUUCCAAGAUAGGGAUACAAAGAGAAGAAGAGAAGGAAACAUGAUAAGUCAGGAGCAAACCUUUGGCUGCAUCAUAGCCAAGAUCAGGAUUAUCCUGCUCCAAUAGCUUGCCGACAACAACAGCCCCUUCGACUCCCGCAUUGGCAGCAAUAGUGUGCACUGGAGUCUGAUAAAGAAACAAAACAGAAGAUUUCAUUAAUUUGAUGGAAGGAAAUAAAAGACCAAAGAUAAUAGUAGAUGUCAAAUCAAUUUUCUUGUAUGUAGUAAUUGCAAACCUUGAGAGCAUUUUGAAUUAUUUGGACACCAAUCUUCUGAUCGAAGUUAGCAGUCUGCAGUUUCUCCAACUCCUUUGAUGCAUAGAGAAGUGCAACACCACCACCUACAUCGAAGUAUGUUGCUUAGACACCAGUAAAGUAAGAAACCCAGAAAGAAAGAUGGUCUAAUACAAUACCUGGAACAAUACCCUCUUCAACAGCAGCUUUGGUAGCAUUCAAAGCAUCAGUCACUCUAUCCUUUUUCUCACCAACUUCAGCUUCACUCGCUCCUCCGAUCUACGGAAUGUACACAAAACGCCCAAAUUCAGAAAAUAAUUUUGAGUUGGCACAAAAUCAGACAAGAAUGGAGAAGCCCCACUUUUGGGGUACUGACUUAAAAUUAGAAAGUGCUAUCAACGAUGAUACAGAGAGAUGAAUAAAAUUUACCUUUUAACUCAUAUGAAAAGAAAUUAAAGCAUGAGAAUUCUAGGCCCCAUUCCGUUGAAGACAAAACAUAUUUUAUUUAUUAUUGAAUCAGAAACCUCACUUGUCCCUUACUAGUUAAAGAAAUGAAGAACAUUACUCAUAUUGAGUCAACUUUAUGAUGAGCCAAAAGUUCCAUUAUGAUUAUACCUUUAACAUCAUGCCUUAUAUAUUGCUUUGCCAAUAAUCAUACAUAAGAUAAGACCUACCACUCAAUCACAAUCCUAUGUGACACAAAUUUAAGGCAUCCACAAGGAACCAAGACCUAUUCAUGUUUAUGAAUAUUUUGUAAAUUAACUAACUGUGACAUUUAUGAAACUAGUUAUUUCAUGCCCAAUAGCAAAAGCAGCAUAAGUUAGCAGAAAGAAUCCUGGCAAUAUAUAAAGCAAUGAACAGUGAAGUGAAGUACCUUUAGGACUGCAACACCUCCAGAAAGCUUGGCCAGUCUUUCCUGUAGUUUCUCCUUAUCGUAAUCGGAGGUGCUUGCCUCAAUUGCAGAUCUCAGCUGUUAAGAAGACCAAAUCGUAAGUCCACUGCCAAAUCCAAUAAAUUAAAAAAUUAAAAUUAAUGGAAGUGCUAAAGGAGUCUUGUCAUAAAGAACUCAAACCUGCUCACAUCUCUCCUCAAUAGCCUUCUUAUCACCAGCACCAUCAAGAAUAACAGUGUCAUCUUUUGACACCGUCACCUGCAAUGUGGCAGAUUAUAUGUUCAAACUCUUGGAACCAAAUAGAAAGAUAUCCAAAUACGUCAAAUAGAAACAUAUCCAGAGUACAUAAUAUGUGGAACUAAAAUCUAAUCUGAUUAGAAAAGUGCAAAGGCAAUUUCAGCCAACGAAACCAUACACAAGUAAAUUAACCUUAACCAUAAUAUCUUACCUUCUUGCAGGUACCAAACAUGUGAGGCUCAACCUUCUCGAGGUUCAUGCCAAGUUCUUCAGUUAUGAGCUAAAUUAAAAGGAACAGUUAGUUGAUAUGAUAGCACUGAAUUAAAAAGAUGGGCAUAAAGAACAAACUUACUUCACCCCCAGUAAGAAUUGCAAGGUCAUGCAAAUUGGCUUUUCUGUUCUCCCCAAACCCAGGAGCUUUGAUGGCACAAACCUAUACAGAAAUUGUUACUUAACAAAAACUCCUAUUCUAUAAAUAAUGAAAGAAGUUGUUGAACGAAACAAGGAGUAGGAACCUUGAUGCCUGCACGAAGCUUAUUCAGAAUGAGGGUUGCGAGUGCAUCACUUUCUACGUCUUCAGCAACAAUAAGUAGAGGUCUUUGUUUCUGGAUGAUAGGAAGACAGCAUUUCAGUUAUGUACCAACCAAUUACUUAUCCAGUCCGCUAUUGCUAUUUGAGGCAACUCAAACAAUUUGAGAGGCAAAGUAAAAUAAUACCUUCAAGGCUAAUUCUAACACUUUAACCACUGCGUUAAGGCUUGAUAUCUUCUUUUCAUGUAUCAAAAUGAGAGGAUCUUCUAAUUCCUGGAGAAAAUCAAAUGGAAAGGGGUAAAGCAGGAAAAAUUCUGGAGACGAAGAUUCAGACAUGAGUUGCCAAGGGAACAGUUCUUACACAUUUCUGGUUCUUUUGGUUAGUGAUGAAGUAGGGAGAGAUGUAGCCUCUGUCAAGUUUCAUUCCUUCCACAACUUCCAACUCAUUGUCGAGGGUAUUACCAUCCUAAGGGUCCAAGAAGACAAAUCAUGCCAUCAUGUAUUUUAGUAGAGAGAGUUGAAAAAAUAUGGUCAAAACCAACCACAACCAACCAGAAAAAUAACAUUAUACAAGUUCGGGGAAAUACAUGCUAAUGUCCUAAAACAAUGAAUUUAUCAAUAAAAAGAACUAAUAUAAACCAUUCCUGUACAAUGUUUAAAAAAAAAAUAGUAUCAUGCUAGUCCUACUAAUUUCAGGGUAAACUGUAAUAGUGAAGAGAUAUCAGAAUUGAUACAAAAACGAGGGGGCCUCAUUUCAAGAACCACCCUACUAGUCCAACAGCAGACUUAGGGAGAGAAUGAACAAGAAUCACCAAUGAAGACGAUCUACACGUGCAACGCCAUAUAAAUAUAAUAGAAGAUCAGUCGCUCGUUGAAAUGGGUGAUAAAUAUUGUUUAACAUACCAUGGAGGUCAUAUUUAGAUAGUUUCUUAGUUCAAACAACAUAUCUCUGUUCGGAGAAAAAUAUACUAUACAGCUUGCACCCAAAAAAAAAAGUAGAAAAGAAAAACCAUCAGAAAACUUGUCGAGAUUAGCACAUCCAUAUAGUACGAACCACUUGGUCACCGAAAUGUUUUCAGAAGUGAAUUAACCAAGAGAUAUCAGCUUACCGCAAUAGUAAUCACUCCCUCUUUACCCACUUUCUCCAUAGCCUUUGCGAUGAGCUCACCAAUUUCCCUCUCUCCAUUAGCUGAUAUCGUGCCAACCUUCCAUAGGAAAAUAACAUUAAAACAUAUAAACAUUUCCUUACAAAACACUGAAAAAAAAAGAUGAAAAAAACAUGAGGAUGCAUCAAUAACCAAAAUUUAAAGCCAUGGUAAAGUCCAAAUCUCAAUAGUCAAUUCACCUGAGCUAUCUCCUCUGAUGUGCUGAUCAUCCUGGCCCUGCUCUUCAAGUUGGUUACUACUGCAUCAACUGCCAUUGUAAUCCCACGUCUCAAAUCCAUUGAAUUCAUCCCAGCUGCCACUGACUUGCACCCUUCGGCAAAUAUUGCUCUUGUAAGAACAGUAGCACAGGUUGUACCUGAAAAUAUUUAACAUUAGAAGUUAGCAAAACUAGUAAGUGACCAAAAAUAACAACAACAUGGAUUUCUUUUAAAUAAUAUACAACAGCUUUAUCAUCCUUUAUGUUUAGUGGUGGAAAUGAUAGAGAGUAUUUUAACUAUAUUGAUAGGGUCCCCAAGUGGGCUGUCCAAUCUAUUAAUAAUCAAUGCUUAGGCAGAUGUAGUUCUAAACAUUCACGUGAAAGAAUGUGCUCUCAACAACAUUAGGUGCAUAUAACAAAUUGCAAGAAGAGGCUAAACCAUACAGUUAUCAUCCCCGGAAAGAGGUCAAAGAAGCUGUAAAGCUUGUGUUACUGUUUAAUUUUUUAUUAAGAUAGCAUACACCAUAGUUUAUCAAAACCCGGCAGCAGUAAAUUGUUUUCCUGAACUUCCUAACAAGUUACUUCCCAAUAAUGCUAAAAAGAAAAGGUCAACACAAGAAUGAGAAGAGAAAUUAAACAAUGAAUUACUUCAGUCGAGCGAGAUUGAAUUUAAGCAUACCAUCGCCAGCAACAUCGUUGGUCGCAUUUGCGACCUGCUUCACAAGGCUCGCACCCAUGUUUUUCACUCUGUCUUUAAAUUCGAUGCUCUUUGCAACAGUCACUCCAUCCUUUGUAACCUUAGGUGCACCAAAGCUUUGCUCUAAAACAACAUUGCGCCCCUGUAUGCAAAAUACAACAAACAAUCAGGUAGAUGUCCAAUAUACAAGGAAAAUCAACAGUAACCUUACUGCCAAUCAUGGAAGGCAAGAACUAGCAACAACAUUCAGACACCUAGCAGGCUAGCACAGCGACACAUUGUUUCCAAAUUAGAUGGAACAGUUGCUUUUACACGACGCAAGCAUAUGACGCAAAGUUGCUUCGCCUUCAUAAUAAACAUGCAAGUUGUCCACCACACAAAAACUUGAAAAACAUAAUCAUAAAUUUAAUAAAAGCAAGAAGCACCACUUCAUAAUCCUCCUUUAGCAAUAAUGGGAGCUUUUGACAAAAAUUACACCAAAAAUAUUAUCUUUAGAAUCUACAACAAGCUAUUCGUGUUAAUGGAAUCAAAGCAAGCAUAUGUACAACUCUGUCUAAAUUAGCCAUACGCAUCGAACAAGCGCUAGGACUAGACAUUUGAAAACCCUAUGUCCACCCAAAAGCACCUGAAUCAAAUAACAAGACAUGCCAUAAAUAUAGGGAUCAUAGUAAUACCUUCGGCCCCAUAGUCACUUUGACAGCAUCAGCCAACUCUUCCACACCCUUAAGCAUCAGCGCACGAGCCUCAACUCCAAACCUGAUGUCCUUUGCCGCAUAGUUUCGGCUCCAACCGAGUCUACUUCCAACCUAUAGCAACAAAUAAAAAUCUAUUUAUGCCAACCCGAGCUGUUUGAUCAUUAUUCCAAUCCAAUUAUUCUUUAUUAGUACAAGUGAGGCAUUCCAACAGUCGUUCAAGCAGAUACAGAACUCGUGUCUCAGUGUAUCAUGAAAAAAGAAAUCGUAGAAUCAUAAAAUCCAGUUAGAAUAUAAACUAAAAAAGUUUUCAUUUUCCUUCAUAACAUUUAUAGACGUUAACAAACUUUAACUAGUACAAGCAAUGCCCUUCCCCAUAAGCAUAUAUAAGCAGCUAAUUUCAGUUCCAAACAGUCUCCUACAAACUAAUGCAGCAGUAACCAAAACAUAUGACCGUAUCAAGAUCAAAUGUCGCGAAAAAAGACGACGUUCAAAUCCUACUCAAAUAACCUCUCACAAACAAUCCAAAACACUGCAAAACUAACGGAUUCUGAUAACCGAUCAAAAAAAAAAAAAACUCCUACAAUCAAUCCAUUUGGAAACAGGAAAUGAUAUUUUUCACAGUGAAGAGGAUCAGAUCUCACCUGUCGGCUGCUGCUCCCAGCAAUCCUGCAUAAGAACAAGCAAAGAUCAGUAAAUCCGGUGCUCAGACGAUCAAAAUGAAGCUCAAAUAGGAAAAAAAACCGUAAAAAUAGGGAGAAAAAAAAAAUCGAACUCCGAAGCUCAAAUCUCCAAGCACAAAUCGAAUGUGAUCACGCAGAAUCGAAAUAAUCCCUCACCGAGCUUUAGAGGCAAGGGUAGCGGCAGCGCGAUACAUCGUAGGGAGAGAGAGACGAAGCUGAGCUCAAGAGGAGCAGGGACGAAGAAGGAUUGGAGAGAGAGAGAGAGAGAGAGAGAGUGGGGAAGCUUCUAGCGAGAAAAGGGAGAGAGAGAGGCGCUAACUUGAGGGAGGGGAAAGAGGGAUUUUAGAGAGGAGGGGAGCAGUUUCUAGAAGAGUCUACUAGGGUUUAGGGUUUAUGUGAACGGUGUGAGACCACAUAAUAGUUAUAUAUUGCUUAUGCUUAGCAGACGGAGAGAGAGAGAGAGAGAGAGAGAGAGAGAGAGAGAGAGAGAGAGAGAACCGGUGGACCGGUCCGUGGNAAAAAAAAAAAAAAAAAAAAAAAAAGAAUAAAAAAAUAUAAGGGUUAGAUAAAUAUGAGUGCGUAUGCUUCUGAAAGCACGGAGCGCUUCAUACUUCUGGAAGCACGGAGUGCUCCGUACUUCCAAGUUAUUUUCGAUGUUCGGACUUCCGAAUCGAAUAUCGGCUCCGUUAGACUUGAUCUAGAGUAUUUGAAUUAUCUAGAAAAUAAAUUUUGCGAUUUUUCGAUAUCAUUUGCUAGUGAUCGAAGUGGCUCAAAAUCAACGGCUGAAAUAAAAAUUUUACAAAAUAUAAUGAUAUGACAUUAAAAUUUUAGAUCAAAGUUAUUGAUCUUGUUUUAUAUGGUAUGAAGAAUUUUCUAUCAAAAUUUCAUGUGAUUUGGAUAUUUCUACACCGUUAAACUUACAAACGGCUCACCAUGGCCGUUAAAAUUAUUGAUUUUGAGCCACUUCGAUCACUAGGCAAAUGAUAUCGAAAAAUCACAAAAUUUAUCUUCUAGGUACUUCAAAUACUCUAGAUCAACUCUAACGGAGCCGAUCGUCAAUUCGAAAGUCCGAACAUCGAAAACAACUUGGAAGCACGAAGGGCUCCGUGCUUCCAAAAGCAUACCAGCCCACUCGAUAAAUAUAUAAAACUCAUUUCAACUAUAAAUUAUUCUCAUUUGAUUAUUUAUUUUUUUAAAAUUUUAAUUUUAUUAUUCAAAAUUUUAAUUUAUUUGAUUUGAGUUGGUCGAUGGCACUUUAAUCUUUAAAUUUAAGUUAAUUACUUAUUUUAAUGAAUUUAUAGUUGUGAGAAUUGUAUGAAACAUACUAAAUAAAUUUAUAAGGAUAAAUAAUGCAUUCAAAUUUUGAAAAUAAAGUGUCAUUGACUUAGUCAAAUCAAAUAAAUUGAAAUGUUCGACAGUAAAAUAAAAAUUUUAAAAUAUUGGACAGUUAAAUCAAAAUGGUCUAAAGUUCAGGUAAGUUCAAUAAAUUUUUACCAAUUAAGAAUUCGGAAUUUAAGAUAGACUGGACCAGCUAACCAAUUCGGUUCCGACAACUUUCCAACAAAAGAUUUUUUGUUAUUUUUCACUCUAUAACAUUUGUUUCCCCUAUAUAGUGUUUGUUUUUUAUUUUUUAAAAAAUAAAAUUUUUGUAUAUUCAAAGAUAUAGGAGUGGACAAUAGAUUGCUUACAAAAUUUGGAUUCAAUUGGUUUGGAUUGGGAGUCACAACAGCAGGAUGCUGAAUGUAGGGAUUUAGAAUUCGAAUAGACCGGACAAGUUAAUCGGUUCGAUUCAGACAACUUUCUAAUAAGGGCCCGUUUGGUCCACUAUUUGCAAUGUUUUGAUAUUUCAUCAUAUUUUCUAUUUAAAAUAUUAAAUUAUUAUCAUUCAACUGAAGGGUAAUUGUAAGAAUUAUUAAUAAAAUAGUGAAAUCAUUAUAGAUUCUUAAGGGUGGAAAUACUAGAUUAUAAUGAGAUAGGGAGUAUUGUGAUUUUCAUACUUGAUGAGAUUCUAUAACAUUUACUAGCCAACUCUUUUUUCCAUCAUUUCUAAGUAUAAAAUAAGUAUAUUAGUAGUGAUCUAAUUGUAACAUAAACUGUAUGCGCUGAUUGAUGAUGAAAUAAUGAAGUUGCAAAAAUAAAUGCUACGAUUUUAAAUUUAAAAGAGGCAAAAUAAACAUUUUUAAAACAUUAGAGAGUAAAGUGCAAAAGUAUAUAUUUGUGAAAUUUGUUUCUACAUUUUAGCUUUUCUUUCUUAAAAAGUUAUUAGACAAUCUACUUUUAGACAAAAAAGCAAAGCACCGGAAAUGAAAAUAAAAAAUGAUAUAUUCGGCCGAUUUUUUUUAAGAAAAAAUAAGAAACGAUCUAAAAAUAGAUAGAAAAACUAAUUUAAAAUUAAUUGAUAAAAACUUUUACUAAAUAUAUUCUGGAGGCUCAUUUUGCUUUUUCUCUUAUUAUUUACCCAAUAUUUUUUAAUUAAGUUGUUUGCUUAUAUUUAAAACAGUAUAUUUCUUUGGAAUAAUAUCGUGAUUGAUGAAAAAAUAAUAAUUUAAUAACAUACUUAAAAAAUACUAUAGAGUAGUUGGAAAUCAAAAUGGAUAUCUAAAAUUUUAAAGAGGAUUUUAGUUAAGAGAGAGUAAAGCGAUGAAGAUUUAGUUUGAUAUUGAGAUCUAUCUAACGAUUAGAUAAAAUGGAGUUAGGGUAAAAGUAUACCGACUAAUCGCGAUAUGUGGAAUGUAAUAUUACAUACGGAAAUAAACAUGGUAUUUUUUUCAUCGCACUUGACCGCACGUAAUGCAAUCUUUCCACAAUCCCAAACGAAGCCUAAGGGAAAGGGAAGAAAAGUGUAUGCGAGAGAAGAUUUUGAAUGGUUUUAUUCGCAAUGGGCCAAUUCAUGAUUCAAAGCCAAAUUGGACCUUAAAUGAAUUGGGUCAAUUCCAUUUUCAGAGUAUAAUGAAAAUCGAAAUUUGAUUCCUGUAAAACAAAUAAUAAUUAUCGAAUUAAUGAAUCACAUUUUGAUUCCAUAAUCUAAAUAGGUAAACCAAAUAAGCUCUUAAAAUAUAGUAUAUAGAUUGAGAAAUAAGGCUUUUUUGUAUAAAAAAUCUGUUGGUUUUUGUAGAAUUGGGCCACUUUUUUGGAUUUUGUAAUUUUUGUAUGAAGUUUUAAAAAUCUGACCAAAAUGUCUCAGCGCUUAAAAUAAAUUAAUCUGACCAAAAUAGUUGUCCUCGGCCUUCUCUUUCUUCCUUUUCUUCUACUACUAUUUUUCCUUUUUUUUCUAUUUUUUUCAUUAAAUAAAAUCUUAUUCUUUUUUUAUUCUUUGUUGCUAAAAAAAAAUAAGUUGUUGUAUAAUUAGAAAAUAUAUUAUAUUAUUUGAUAAAAUUAAUAUAUUAUUAAAUAGUGGAAAACACCGUCAUAUAGUGCAACAUAAUUUUAAAUGGUGUACUUUUUUAAUUUUUUAAUAGAAUUUUUAAAUAAGUGUGCUUGACACGUUUAGCCUUGAGGUUGUGGAUGAAUAAGUCAUCGACAAGAAGAUAAAGAUCUUUAUUAGUUGAGAAUUCAUACUCCAUCUAGAAUUAUUAGAAGAUUGUGUCGCUUGUGCUAUAAAAAUAUUACGAAAAUCAAUUAUAUUUAUUUUCAUAUGUAAUAGCAUAUUUAGCAUAUUGAUAUCUUUUCUGUAAUUUGAUAAAAAAGCAAAAAAAACAUAUUUUUGCCUAAUUUUUUAUUAUUCAACCAUAUUUAGAAUGAUUUACCAUUUAAACUUCAGUUGUGCACUGAUAAUUUAAAUAUUUUAUUAAAGAAUAAUUUUAUACAACUUUUUGUAACAAGAUGUCUCUCUAAAUUUAAUCCUACAAAAUUUAAGUUAUCCCAAUUAUCCAUCCAAAAAUUAUGUUGUUUACAAAAUUAUCCCUAUAUUUAGCAUCUAUUCGAAAAUAAAGAUUAAUCAUAGAUUAAAUAUUUAAUGAUAAUUAGUUUAGAGAAAAAAUAAUCUUUUUUAUCCUUAUAAUUGUAGCCAGGGUAAACUUCAAAUACCACUUUUAUAAUUUUCGCACUUUUUCACUUUAAUACCCCAUAAUUUAAUGUGUAUCACUUUAGUACCCUACAGUUUUAUUUUUAUUUUUUUCUGCCAGUACUUCCGUUAACUCUUCGUUAAAUUAUAUACAAAAAACUUCAGAUAUCCUAUCUAUAGUUUAUUAAAUAUUCACUUUAAUAUUUUGUGGUUUAUCGAAUUUUUACUUUAGUACCAUGUGGUUUUAACUCUUUCACUGAUAUAACGAAAAAAUUAACGAAGAGGAUAACGGAAGGAGAAAAAUGAAACCAUAGAAUACUAAAGUGAUACAUUUUAAAUUAUAUGAUACCAAAAUAAAAAAGUGCAAAACUACGGGGAUAAUAUUUGAAGUUUUUUUAAAAUUUUAGAAGGCCAAAUUUGAAAAGAGGAUUUUUUUUUUAUAGGUAUGAUAUUAUCUUUUUUUUAAUUAAAUCACCUUUAAAAUAUUAGAAACUAAUACAAAAAAACGGCCUCUUAAUGCGUUUAUUAAAAACCCCUUCCCCGUCGCACAAAAACCCUCCUGCGUUCGAUCUCGGAGUAGGUUCGGAAAAUUUUUAGCGCAUACAACAAAAGUAGCGAAAGAAGCGAAAUUUAGGGCGCGGCGGCGACGACGACGACGACGACGACGAUCCCCUCGUUUUCGCCAUGGGUUUCCUCGAGGAUUUCCAAGCAAGUAAGUUCUCGCUCUCUCUCUCUCUCUCUCUCUCUCUCUCUCUCUCUAGGGCACGAGAGUACCCUUCCAUUUGUAGUAGUGAUGUGGCGGCGGAGCUCCCGGGAAAUGGUUCAAUCAGUAACCCUAGCAUAAACCCUAGUUUGGUGUGGAGUGUAGAUGAAGGAGGCUUUGUAUAGCUUAUUGCAGUGAUUUGUUGUUAGGGUUGGUUUUUGCCCUAGUUUCUUAACUUCUUUGAUGUUGUCUUGCACAAAGGAUUCAAGUGCUACUAUCUUUUGAAUUGAAUCGGAUCGGCUUGCGGAUUGCGAGCUAUAAAUUGUGUAAAAUUGCAUCUUUUUUAAGUUUAAACUCCCCAAAUUUGUAAGUAUUCCAUUGUAAGCUUUCCGGUUCAUUCCUUUCAAUGGUUGGUUUUUGUCCUAGAGCUUUUUUUUUUUUCUUUUUUUUCUAUUUUUUCUUUUUUUUUUCACUUCUUUGAUGUUAUCUUACACAAAGGAUUCAAGUGCUACAUCUUUUGAAUCGAAAUGGACCGGCUCUUGAAAUGCAAGCUAUAAAUUGUGUAAAAUUGCUUCUUUUUUUUUAUUGUAAGUUUGACUUUAGUUCUUGAGUGUAAGAUUUUCUUGAGUGUAAGAUUUUAGUUAUAUGACUCUCCAAAUUUGUAAGUGUUUCAUUAUAAGCUUUCCGGUUCAUUCCUCUUAAUGCGACUACUGUGUAGUAUAGAAUUUGCAGUCAUGUCCUUCAUCUUGGAAAAUUGAGAGGAUCUUUUGCCAUUAGAGAUGAAAAUGCGUAUAUAAACUUUAGUUGAAGUUGUAGUGUUUGAUUUUGAUGAAGAUUAAGCUUUACGUAUGACUGCGAUUGCGAUUGCCGAGCGUAUGAGUUAAAACCCACUAACGCGAGAUUGAGGGUUGAGGAUGAAACCUCGUUUAAAUGAUUAUAGCCUUAUUGUAUCCAUGUGGUGACCUCGUUUAAUUCGAACUGUAAUCUUAGAUUAGAUUUUUGCACAUACUCUUUAUAUUGCUCUAAUGUUUUGUUAUUUCUUCAGGCCUUGAAGCCUUGCCAGCUAUGCUACAGCGCAACUAUUCACUGAUGCGAGAUCUGGAUAAAAGUUUGCAAGGUAGGUUUACUAAAACAUUGAGAUUGUUUACAGAAACUUUUAUGCAAUCUCUGUUUCUGUUUGUCAGUUCUUUCGGUCGUUAGAGCAUAUUAGGUUUGCAAAAUAAACUUACUGUCUGGUGUCAAAGUUGAUUGCAGAGACAUAGUAUGCCACAUACAAUAAGCUUUCUUUAGUUACUUCGAUUUUUAUGAGACUCUUGCUAUGUGCUAGUCAUGCUUUUGGUCACUUCUGUUCUUUUUUGUUAGGUGUCAAUGUGUUUUAUCAUCUCUGGUUGUUAGUGACGGGUUGUUUUGCCUUUUUUACAAACUCGUGCAUGGGGUAUAUUGGUGUGUGCCUUAUUAUCUUUAUUUUCUAUUUUCAGCGAGACGUUUUCAGGCUUGGUGCCUGCAUGUUUACCCUAUUUUCCUUGUUUCUACAUGGAGGUGUCCAGCAACAGAAUGAGCAGCGGUGCGAGCAGGAAAUAGAGGAAAUUAGACGGCAACUUGAGUCGGGUAUUGCAACAUCUAGUACUUCAAUUUCCCGAUAUUCCGAUGAAGCUAUUGACGAACAGAAGCAUUGCGUCAGAAUUGCUGACGAGAAGGUGGCUUUGGCUACUCAAGCUUAUGAUAUGGUAUAUAAACUCUCUAUCUCAUGUUUCAAAAUGGGUAGGGAACCUUUCUCUGCAUCGUGUGGGAUAGUCCAAUUUUGUACAAACAUUGAAAAUGAUCCAUUAUACAGUGCGGAUCCAUGUUCUAGGCGCAGAAAUUAGGGCACUCUUUAGGCUGGUUUUAGGAUCUAACCAGUCUGCUUAGCUCCACUCAUGGACUUGUAAAUAAUCCAAUUUUGUACUCUUGAAUCUAGAGAGUACCCUGGCAGGAAACUAGAGGCUGCAAGAAGAUUCAGAUAUUGAUGACCAUUAUUCUGAUAGCAUAUAGGUAAAAUUAUGGUGAGAGAGAGUGUUAGCUUCAUAGUCAUACUACUUUUCUUAUACAGCUGAUUCUAGUGCAAAUUAUUUUGAUGAGUAGUUCUAACCAGUACAAGUUUGCUUUGUCCAUGUGCAUUUGGCAUGUUCUUGGAACUUUAUGACUUUCCUUAUUAUACUUAGCACGUAGGAUUGUAAUAUCAUAACCAUCCAUUAACUUUUCUUCUUGAGCGUAAUCAGGAGCAAGCACUUUAAAUCACCUUUAGGCAUACUUUGACUUCAAAAAUUGCAUUUCCGAUAUAUUUUGAAGUUGAAUUUCCUUGAACACACACAUUAACAAGUGAUCGCGUCUUGGAACAAGCACAUCAUUAAUAAUUGACUUGAUACUUCAUUUAUGUAUCUUGCAAAAGCCUAAUCAUAAAGUGGUUCUAGUUGGGUUCUAGGACUACCCUUUCUUGUGGUCUCUACUGUGAGUUUUUUUUUGGUAACAGGAACCUAACAUGGGAUAUCUAUCAUAAUAUUGUUAAUGGAAACCUGUUCUAUAGGUUGAUGCACAUAUCCAACAGCUCGAUCAGUAUAUGAGAAAGCUUGAAGAACUUCGACAGGGUGUGUAUAUACUCUCUCUCUCUCUCACGCACACGCACAUGCUCACUCACACGCACAUGCACACGCUCUCCCUACUCUAUUUUUAGUACUAGUACUGCUCGUGAGAGAUGUUUCCUUGGAUAGCAGAAAGAGAGCUUGCAGCAGGGGCAACUGCUGCUGCAGGUGCUGGAACUUCAAAUACUGAUGCUGUUACAAGAUCCGGAAGGACUAGCGAAAGGGGCAGAGGGGGACGAAAGAAGUAUGCCUUUUGUUUUAUCACAUAUUCUUUCUUACAUUCUUUACCAAACUAAUAUGUGAGUUUGUACAUGUCUGUCUGUUUGUCCGCUCAUGUUUGUCCGUGUGCAUGCUGACUGAAACGGGCAUGCGUUAACAUAAGCUGUUUACUUUCACAGGAAUGUCAUUUCUAGACAUUAAACCAUAAAUCAAAACUGUUGGUCUCGAAGCCUUAUGUAUUAUUAUUUUUUUUAAAAAAAAUCUUGAGACUUAUCUGCCAUGUAUCAACCGAUAGUCCAUUUUGGAAACUAUGCAUUGGGACUAUGUGAUAGCUAGAAAUUAGGUUUUUACGAUUUCCAAUGUGCAGACAUUUUAGUUCUUCAAGUUCACAUCCAGAGUAAAUAUAUUGAUAUUUUGUCACUGUUCUUGAGUUUUACCGCCUCUGCCAUACAUAUUGAGUUAACACCAGUAUAACUUGAGCGCUCAUUUUAUAUAAGCGCGCAAUUAGUUAAUACUCGGUCGAUUGAUGCAGGACAAAAUUAGCAGCGGAGGCACCACCUAUAGAUUUGGAGUUGCCGGUGGACCCCAAUGAACCGACAUACUGUCUCUGCAACCAAGUUAGCUUUGGGGAGAUGGUUGCGUGCGACCACCCCGAUGUAUGUGACGCUCUUCUCUUUAUGGUCAUUCUCCCAUGUUGGUUAAUUAUUUCCGAUGCACACCGACUAGACCUUUCUAAUUUCGCUGCUUUGCCCUUUUCGACUUUUUUGACAGUGCAAGAUAGAGUGGUUUCAUUUUGGAUGUGUUGGUUUAAAAGAGCAACCGAAGGGGAAGUGGUACUGCCCUAACUGCAUCGGAUUGCAGAAGCGCCGGAAAGGUAAAUAAGCGCUUAAUUUCCUACCAAGAAGCACUAUACUGGUUGAUUUGUAGUAGGAGAUGCUGAUUCCUUGGUUCAUGAAUUUUAGUGUUUUCUCUAUGAUAUAAUGAUAUACAUGGAUGGAUAAGAGGGGAGAAAUGAUGUAGUAGCUAGAUAACUAACAUGUUCUAGAGGAAACUUUUGUAUAUAAAAAAAAAAAAAUUGCCUUAUGAUGUUUCCUUUUUUCUUUUUCUCAUGAAGAUUCUUUUGUUUGAUUGCAAAGUUUGGAGUUCGAUUUUAGCUCCUUGGAAGCUCUUGGCUUCUGUAAAUUGGUAAGAUAGUGUAUGUCAUUUGCGAGGCGAUUUUUCGUAUUAAAAAAAAAAUGACAUGAAGAUUGUAUAUCAUGUAACUUUUUUGACAUUUAAUCAUGUUUCUCAUCUAUUAAAUAAGAUAUAUUUAUGUAUCAAAACAGACCCCAAGUGAACACCAAGCUAAGGCCUUGCUUGGCAUUAUUGUUGGUUUUCUAUUUUUCUAAAAAUAGAAUUUCUACAUGAAUUUUUUUUUUCCUUUUUUUUUUUUUUCCCGUGAGUUGUUAUCAAUCACUUAGCUUGAGCAUGUAAUAUAAACUAACAAAUCACUACACCAAGAAGAAAGUCCCUUCGGUAGUAAUAUUAAACUAUAAAGAAUUAGUGUUUUAGAAAGUAACAACAAACAGCAAUAAAUAAGACUUAAAGUUUUUUCUCCUUCAAUUUUUUUAAAUACUUUUCUGAAAGUUAGGCUUAGGCUAAACAAGUGCUUAGGCUCUAUGGAGGAUUACAAGACGCUUAUGUUUUUUUACGGUAAAAGAGUACAAUAGGAAACUAUUUUGUAUGUGUUUUUUUGCUUUAGAGAAAGAUAGCCUGUGACUUAUUUCAUUCAUUAGGAAAAUAAAUUAGCUACAUAGAGUGUGAGGCAGCUAAGGUCUCAGAAUUUGUGAAAAAUCAAAAAAAAAAAAACAGAAAAGAGCAAAAAAAAAAAGAGCUAAAAAGAACACUAAAAAAAAGAACCAGAGUGUAAGCAGAAAACAGGUGGUAAGAACAAAGAAUGUAACAAAUGCCGACGACAUCUUGCUCUACAAAACUCGCCCCACUCCUUCGCUAGCACUCCAAAUACACUGAGCUGUAGAGAUAGCGUCAGUAGGUAAGUUUUUAAAAACAACAUUAUUUCUUUCACGCCAGAUCGUCCACUAUAAAACAGUCAUAAGUAUCUGAGCUUUCAAAAAGUCAGAUCACGAUCCCCUCCUCAGUAGUCCCUCCUAGAAGUAUUGACGUCCUUACUAGAGAGGGAGACGUGGAGCUCAUCAAAGAGCGAAAUAAAAAGGAAUUUGCUGGCGACACAACCCACCAACAAGUGAUCAACAGUUUUCAGGUCAGCGCCAGAUAUGACACCCCCAAUAUUUAUACCUAAUUUCACCUUUUGUCUAUUGCAAAGAAUAGGUAAUAAUAUAUUUUCUAUUCUAUGAUCUUACGCGAAAAUAAAGAAGUUAUUUGUAUAUACUUUCGUCUUUUGUCUACUAGCGUUCGAUGGAUCUUAAUACCAAAUGAGUCUAGAUACAAGGCUGGGUAUAGGGAAGAAUUUAUGGGCCUAGUCCGGGCGUAUAUAGUCCACCAUGUCUUCGGCUUCUAUAACAAAAUUUGAAGUACAAAUUUGUGAAGGGGUUUUUAAAUAAGAAUACUGCUAGGGAUCUUGCAAAAUUAUAUUCUCAUUAUAAAAAAAAAAAAAGAAAAAAAAGAAAAGCUACCUAGACACUCAAUAUGUAGAGUGUAAAAUUUCCACUCCCUCAUUUAAGGAUUUAAAAACUUCUUUUUGAGGACUUAGUAUGAGCACCGCUAUCAUUUAUUGAGGAUUUAAAAACUUCUUUUGAGGUUUUAGUAUGAGCACCGUUAUCUAUAUAUCUCAAAAUAUAUAUAUAUAUAUAUUUUAUAUCCCAUCAUCCAAGCAUCGAAAAUUGAUCUUUAUCGUGUCAAUUUUUUUUUUAAUACUAAAAAUCUAUUGCUUUUUAAAAUCUAGAAUAAAGAGGUUGUAAGAAUUAAAAUGUACACUAUUUUGAAAUGUAUAAAUAGCCUUUUAUAUAUAUAUAUAUAUGAGUUGAGCUAGAAUACUCUCGAUAGUAAACAGAGCGUUCUACUAUCGAGUUGUUUUUGAUGAUAGAGCUUCCAAAUUGAUGAUCGGCUCCGUUGAACAUGAUCUAAACCAUUUAAACUACCUAGAAAUUAAAUUUCACGUACUUUCAAUAUUGUUCUUUUAUCCAUCAAGUAAACAGAAAAAUGAAUGGCUGAAAAAGAAUACUCUUUAAAAAAUGAUGAUAGGAGUCUUGUAAUCAAGAUCAAGAGUAUAGAUCUUGUUUUAAAUAGUUUAAAGAAUUUUCUAACAAAAAUUCAAUUGAUUUGGAUAUCUUUACGCCGUUAAACGAGAAAACGCCUCUUAUCGACCAUUAAAAUUACAANUUAAAGAGUAUUCAUUUUCAGCCAUUCAUUUUUCUGUUCACUUGAUGGAUAAAAAAAUAAUAUCGAAAGUGGGUGAAAUUUUAUUUCUAUGUAGUUUAAAUAGUUUAGAUCAUAUUUAACGGAGCUGAUCGUCAAUUUGCAAGCUCUAUCAUCGAAAACAAAUCGGUAGUAAAACGGCUCGUUUACUACCGAUAGUAUUCUAGCUCAACUCUAUAUAUAUAUAUAUAUAUACUAGUUGAAUGUAUGUACAAAUGCAUGUAACAAUUAAUUAUUUAAUAAUUAUUUUAAAUUAAUAUGAAAUUGUACAUCAUAUUUAUUGAAAAAAUUAUAAUUUUUUAAAAAGUAACUUUAUUUAUUAUAUACUAUUAGAAAAUACCUACCAUAUUUUGUCAACAAUAAUUAUAUAGUUUUUUUUUAUUUUAUAAAAUUUAUAUAUAGUAUAGAUAUAGAUAUAUAUUAAACAUUUUUUUGAUAAAUUUACAUAUAGUGUAGAUAUAGAAAUACAUUAAAUAUAGAUAUACAUUAAAUAUUUUUCUGAUAAAUUUAUAUAUAGUGUAGAUAUAGAUAUACAUUAAAUAUAAAUAUACAUUAUAUAUUUUUAAUUCUAUAUAAAUUUAAAAUUUAAAUAAAUAUUUAAACUAAAAGUAUCAAAAUUGAACAUAUAAUAUAAUAAUAAAUAUUAGUAGAUAGAAUAAGAUAAUAUAUAUUAUAUUAUAUAUAAUUAUAUAUAUAUAUAUAUUGUAGAUAGAGAUAAAGAGAUAUUCGUUGGUAUGCAAAAAAAUUGGAUUUUUUGCUAUUGUAGAAACAAAGAGGAAUUAAAAGUUUGUUUAAUUUUAUUAUUUAUUUUACGUAAUGAAUAGAGGAACUAUUUUUUUUUUCCGCCAAAAAAUGAGUCUGUCGACAGAUUGAAAUUUGAAAUACGUGCUUUUAUAUAUAUAUAUAUAUAUAUAUAUAUAUAUAUAUAUAAAAGAUUUGAUAAGAGUAGGGAGUAAGUAUCUCAUACACCCUUUGUGAUAAAACAUACAUGGUACGGGUUCACAAACACCAAAAUAUCACAUAAAAUUAAGUUUAAUUAAUCCCAGUAAAUAACACUUUUGCAUAAUAAUAUUUUAGUGCACAACCAGUAAGUGAGGUGGGGUACUGGGGUUGAUCCAUAUAGGUUGACACGGCUCCACGUGUUAUACCCCUCUUUCUCUCUCUCCAAAAAGAAAUUAAGAAAAAGAAAGAAAAAAAAAGAACAUUACUAGAGAGAGAAACAAGAGGAUACAUAUUGCACCCUUUCCGUUUGCAUUUUUGCCCUACCUUUGAAGUUUAGGGUGCGCCCAGUUCAGCGUAAAAAGAAUCGAAAAUUAUUUUCAGUAUGAAAAAUACUUCUCUCUUAUUUGAUUCGACGUAAAAAUAUUUUUCCAAAUAAAUAUUUUUACGGAUGUGGAAAAAAUUAAAGUUCAUGUUUUCCAUUCUUUUCGGCUGAAAAUAAAAACUCAAACUGCAUAAAACUUUUUUAUUUAUUUUUUUUCUACCAAGCCGAACAAAUGCGGAUUUCUUUCCUUUCAACCAAACAAGUAUUGAUGGAAAACUACUUUUCUUUAUUUACGAACCAAUGUAAAGACUUUUUUUUCACCGAAAAUUUUUUUCCACAAAAAAUUAUUUUUUAUAUGUUGAGCCAAACAGACCCUAAUAAAGCAUAAAAAAGAUGGUAAAAAGGGCCUAAUACUUCUGCAGUGAGAAUCACAUAUUAAUGAGAAGGAAAAAGAAUGCCAAGAGUAUUUUUAGCAAGGAUUAAGUUACAAAAGAGUGAGUUAAAACACUAUACAGUAGCAUAAAAGCAAAUUAUUACAAGCAUCUACGGCACAUGCAAGUGUUAUAUACAAAGAUUCAAAUGUUUUGAGUAAUCGAGUUCCAUUCAUAAGCAUCAAGAAGUACUAAAAUCAACAACCCAGUAUUUUUCAUAGGGGCCAUUGCUAAGUCCAUAGAAUAUAACUUUACCAAAACUCGCAAUUUUUCGUAUACAAGCCUUUUAGUAGUUGUAGAUCAAGUUCAACAGGACUCUGCAAAAAAUGUGUAAUUAAAAUGUUUUGUAAUCUGCACUCUUCCACCACAAUAAUCUUAUUCCGAUAAGAGCGAAAUAGGAUAGCUUAUCCGACAAUAAUCUUCUCUGUAACCACCUAAUAAUUGUAAAAUUAUACAGGAUCUGAAGACGCGGUAGUACCCUGUGGUGGUGAGAUUCAACAAGAUCAACUACGCAGGUGUUUCGACAAACAACUGCGCACUAGACGAGAUUCAAGAAGCCAAAUGAUCAAUGAGUACAGUGUCUUGUACUCCCAUGUGUAUUUGGCAUGAUCCUCUUUAUGUGGUUUCAUUUAGCAAUAUUUCUUAACUAUUGGACUUUUCAUUUUUAAUGUACAAGGUUUUCCAUGGUUUACUUUCAGAUCAUAAGAUGUCUACCAAGCGACAUUUCUGUAAUUCAAACAGAGUGAGCAAAGCCUAGCAUUACCAUUCUACUAACAGUAGUUAACUUCUGUAUUUAAACAUCAACAGUUUUACAAGCUGACCUUAUCUUAGUAUGAUAAUACUACAGCAGCAGAAACAUAGAUAUAUGAUAGAGCUAGCAACUACAGCAGCAGAAACAUAGAUGAUGGAUGAUGCUACAACAGUAAGUAGUAAUAUAUCGAUCUCAGCUGCAUCUUGCCCCUUGUAAUUAUCGCAGUAUGCAGUUGUCCCCUGAAAUAUCAAAAACUACAUUUUACCCACUUAAAACUACAAGAUUUCAUCACUUUGCCGCCUCGGCGAUGCCUAUCAUUUUGCUUGUACGAGAAGUAAAUGUAAGUUCUUGAAAUUUCAGGGGAAGCAAUGUGAAAAUCGCAAUGUUUAUAGGGGAUUUCUGGUGAACUUACCACACUGGGAAGAAGAGAGGACCAGUGCCACCAUCCUUCUCAGCAUCGGGAACACUGUUGUAACAGUACAAGUUGUUGGACAUCUCCCAGCUCCAAUCCUCCUUUCUUGACACUCUCAUUCCCGGCCAUCUGUUGAUCCUCACAUAGUGGUUCCUGAUUUGGCCGUCGCCUACGUAACUGGUCACGAUGCAGUACGUGCAUUCGUGGCCGCCCCAGACUUCAUCAUGGGGGUCAGCAGUCUGGGAGCCAUCCAGGUUGAAGUACCGCCGCAUUGGGGGCGCAGUGCCGUUCCAAAACGGGUCAAGGUUUCGCCAGUAUUCUGGGGCUGCCUGCAAAUCAGAAUAAAGGAAUGGACACUUCGCACUUGUACAUGCAUUUCAAAGAAACAUUCUGGCAAAAGCCAGCCCCUGGAUCAAUUCAGUCGCCAAUUACGGUUGUUCUCUACGAACUCAAAAGAUCGGCAUAACCUAGAUAUAUCAUCGUAGAGAGCAUCAUCAAUCAAAUAACUUUACGUGCACCAUGUAAUUAGUAAGAGUUCUUGUAGAACUUAACCCACAACAUUUUUCGCCCUUAGGAAAGAAUUUUAUGCUUUUCGGUCGUGCGUAGAAAAGAUUGAUUUGAUAUAAGAGAGUAAGCUAUCAAGAUGGCUAGCACUUAGGUAUUAGCAUAUUGUAUAGUUUAAAAAGUUGUAAAUUUGAAGGAAAUAAGAAAAGAAUGCAUCGUUGAGUUGAACUCACCUCCCUGAAAUGAAAUUCCCAGACAUGGUCACAAAGGUCCUCCUUCACAAUGCGAGCCUGAGAACCAACCAUCCCACAAUGUCAAGAGUUGGCCCGAGCACAAGAAAUCCAUAAAAAAGCAGUUGUGUGUGAGGAGUUCACUUUGAACACAUGGCUAGCAGCAGAUCUUUCUGUUGUUUCAGACCAGCUUCAUGUUUUUAAUAUAUAUGUAGCUAAUUUUAGAAAACAGAGCAUAUGUAUAUACAAAAAAACCUGUGCUUGCUGAAUCCAGAAGGCAAACAUGAGACACUGGAACAAAAUUUAAUGUCAGUUGCCAUAUCUACAAACAGAGCCAGUUUCAGGUAGAGCUAAUGAAAAAAAACUCUCCUCAUCUUGACUCAAAAUUGUAUACUUUCCCAUCAUAUAUACAUUUCAACACACUUUUGUCGGCCUAAAGUUGUUAACUUCAAGUAACAGCAUAGAAGGAUUGAUUUAGUACUCAAGCAAGCCUUUGCUUACCCGUUUGCCAUCCAUGAUGGAUAUAGAGUAAGCUGCUAAUCUUGAAGCUCCCCGAACCUGUGGUGAGCGAGGAAUAUGUGCUUUCCCCUUCCGUAACUCCUCACACUGUUAUCAGAAACAUGUAUUAGAGUAGCAAAGGGAAUAUAUAUAUUAUAUAUAUAUAUAUAUAGAGAGAGAGAGAGAGAGAGAGAGUAGGGCUACUAUACUCUUAUGAGUAUAGAGCCCUUCGUACUCAUAAGUUGUUUUCGAUGAUGGAGCUUCCAAAUCGACGAUCCAUACCGCGUCAAAUAUAAUUUAAAGUAUUUAAAACUUCUAGAUAAUGAAUUUCGUAAAUUUUUGAAAUCAUAAUAAAGUCCAUCAAGCGGGCAUAAAAUGAACGGUUAAAAUCGAACAAUGUCUUAUAUAUAUAUAUAUAUAGCAUUCCAAAGAGUGAGGAUAACACCUUUCACACAAAACCAAUGAAAAAAUUCUGCAAAAUUUACUAGCGCCAAACAUGCGUCAUGGUUGUGAACUUCUUCAUGUUCGUAGUACAUGAACAAAUCAAAUGCAGAAAGUGAUGAACUAAUAAAUCCAAAGAGUGCACUGAGUGGGUCAGUUGGAAAUUCAGUUGUACAAACAGCAAUAAAUGUUACUUUUAAAUGAUCGAUUGAUCUGAUAUCGGCCCAAAUUAAGAAUUGAUAAGGAAAGGACAAAUCAUAUGGUUAUAUUUUACUAAGGGAAUGUGUCUAUAUAUAUACACCAAAGCUUUAUAUAGCAUUGAGAUGUACAACCACUUUUCUUCUUCCCCACCACCUUUCUGAGGCCCCUGUUACCAUAAGAAGUGAAGAGAAUUAAAGAUCACCUUUCUGUAAAAUUGAGAGGAGCUUAUUAUAGGGUGCUUAUUAUCUUAACACCAAAACAAGUAGAAUAUAAAAGAUAACUGAACAAAUUUCGUAGUCAUAUAUAGUAGUCAAUACUACAACCCAAAGAAUUAAAGUCAAAAGCAUAAAAAAUUAUGGACAAUUCCUGUACUAUCCUGAUACAGCAACUUGGUACAGAGGCAGAUUCAGAAUUCUCAUCAAGCUGGGAUACAGUAUGUGUUAAAUACUUACUGUUGCAUAUGAGUUAGAUAAUAUCUUAGGAUCAUAAAAUUAUUAUUAUUUCCGCGGACAUAAGCCUUUGCUAAAUGUAUAAUGGUUCUAUACAUUUUUACCAAUAUGAGGCACAUAAUCUUAGUAUAUAAGGAAUGAGAUAAAUAUUCUAUAAUCCAGCGUGGGCACGUGCCCACACAUGCCCACUCAUGAACACACCCCUAAAUUUGUCUCGGUGUUUUCUAAUCAAACACUUUAGUUCCUGAACUUCCACAUAUAUUGCAGUGCAAUCCAUGACCAUAUAAUUUCUUUAUAUUAGCUUACCUUUAAAAUGACUUAUCUAUUUCAGUUUACUGCUAAUAUAAAUUUAAAAACAUCAUUUUACAAGAAAUGUCACAUCUUUUUCAUGGUUAAUGGCGAUGUGAAACUCAAAUUGGGGCUUAAAAUGUUCUAGUAAGUCAAACGACUGGUGGCCUAGUGGUUAUGUGCUUAAAUGCUGACCAUGAGAUUGGAGAUUCAAGCACUGUGUAAGCUUAAAUGUGGGGCUCAUGCCCCAAGCCUCGGGUAUAUGAGCUCCUAUGCUUUUAAAAGUAUCAAGUCAUUGGUGCUUAUAGGUUUUUGGCCCUUCGAUGAAGGGAUGUGCGGUUAGAAUGAUAAUGGUCCCUAGGGUUGAGUGAAUAGUUGUUUAAAUAGUAUGAUCAAAUGGGUGGAAAUGGUCAAUGGGGUAGAUCUAAUAGCGGAAAACUUACAAGCACCAAGUGCUUGGUGCUUUUCAAAGCACCAUAGCCGAACUCUCUCUCUCUCUCUCUCUCUAUAUAUAUAGAGAGAGAGAGAGAAAGAGAAGAUAUCGAAAGGUUGUGAAAUUUAUUUUCUAACUACUUCAAAUACUUUAGAUUUAGGGUGCGUUUGGUUCGCAUUAUGAAAGAUUACUAGGAAUAAAAGAUAUCUAAGAAUCUUAUUCCUAUUCAUCCUAUCACUAAGAAUAUAAAAUUUUUGUGUUUGGUUCGCACGGUAAUAUUUAUUAGCCAUAUUAUUUAAUAUUAUAAAAAAUAUAUAAUUAAUUAAUUAAUUAAUUAAUUAAAUUUUAGAUAAUGUUAUAAAAAAUUUCAACAUCUUUUUAGAAAAAGGAAGAGAAAGUAUAAGUUAGAGAGAGAGAGAACAUAAUUAAAAAAAUAGAAAGAAAAAUAUAGUCGAAAUUAGAGGGAGUGAGAGAGUUGAAAUUUUAGAAAGACAGAGAGAGAGAAAGCUUAGUUUAGAGAGAGAAAAAAAAAGUUGAAUUUUAGAGAGAAAAAUAAGUUUAGAAAGAGAUAUAAGGUUAGAGUGUAAAGAAAAAUAAUAUCAAUUAGCCGGCGGAUAGAAAGAAAGAAAGAGAUUAGACAUAUUAUGAUUAUCCCAAUCCAUUAAUAUGAGGAUACCCACCCUCCCUCAAGGGAAUGAGAUUAGUACUUUGGGGUGAAUCUUAUUCCCAAGUGAAUUCAAUAUUACCAACUAGAUUACUUAGUGCGUUUAACCAAACACAGUCAUAUUUUUUUUAUUCCUAUUGGAUUACUAGGAAUCUUUAAAAAGAUAGCGCGAACCAAACGCACCCUAAGUUUAAUGAAGCUGAUAAUCAAUUUCGAAGUCCCGGUAUCGAAAACGAUCUGAUAACAUGGAGGUCACCAUGCUUCUAAAAGCACACAAGCCGGACUCUAUAUGUACAUAUACAUACAUAUAUAGACACACACACAUAUAUAUACAUACAUACAUAUGUAUACAUAUAUAAGAGAGAGAUAGGCUCAAAUACUUUUACAAGUAAAAUGACCUUUUACUUCCGCGUCAUUUUUAGUGAUAGGGCAUCCGAAUUGACGGUCGGCAUUGUUAGACGUGAUCUACGAUAGUUGAACUAUCUAAAUUUCAAUUGCUAUAUAAGAGAGAUCGGCUCAAAUACUUUUACAAGUAACGGCCUUUUACUUCCGCAUCAUUUCUAGUGAUGAGGCAUCCGAAUCGACGGUCGGCACCAUUAGACGCGAUCUAAGGUAUUUCAACAAAGAAUCCACAAUUUAGCAAAGACAAAAAAGAGGAAAAAGUGGCAAACCCCUCAGAGGCAUUUCAACAAACAGAGGAUCGGCAAGAAUCGAAGGGCUAAAAACCUUGGGAGCCCAGACGCGGUCGGCCGCGGCGAUCUCGUACCACCAUUGAGACACCACAAUGCAUCGUGCCACGCUGCCUGCGUCCAAUAACCCCAUCACCUUCCACAUUAUAUCCGGCCCCAACACAGCCAUCGGAUCCCCCGCCCCCGCGCCCGCCUCCGCCUCCGCCGCCGUAUCCCUCUCCUCCUCUCCUCUCCUCCUCCUCCCCCCCGAUUCCUCGAUCUCCUCUCCGUCCCUUGCCCCCACCAUUGGAGCAAACUGGGUUGAGCCUGAUAAGUUAUGAGCAAAAAUACAAUUCACAGUAACUUAUAACUUUAACUUACCAUUCAGAUGGGUUGAGACAGGUCGAAACUUACGUGCUCUUCCUCUCCGCGCUUUUGCAAUGAUUGAUUAGCGGCGAUGGGGAACAGAAUGUAAUUAUGCGGGUGGGCGCUCAGUGCGGCGGCGUAAGUACUACUAUUGCUUACUUGUUAAGGAAAAUAUAAGGCGGUCCCGCAUGGCCGCAUACGACGCCUCGGGAAAGUGUUUUUGGCGCGGAGUCCGUGUGAACGGCGCCGGUAAUGUCGUGUUACUCCUUUGGCGGGGAUUUUAAAACAGCCAGUGGGGCCCACGUGCGCCGACGUGCGGCCCAAUCUGGCCUCCUUUCCCUGUAGUGCCGCUCGAUCUCGUCCCUCGCCCUCAAACUCGAGUAAGAUUUUCGUUUGAGAUUACGAAAAGAUAAUCUAAAAUAGAAAAAUACUUUAUUUAUUUUGGUACAUAAUAUUAUAUUUUGAAUAUUAUAAUAAUUGUUUAUGAUAUAUUUUCUGUAAUUCUACCGAAAAACAAGAAAAGCAUUUGUGGGUCCAAUCUCUAACUCCUUUAGAUUUGUCUUUUUCUCCAAUGUAGUGUGGCUCGAUCCCAUCCCUCGCCCUCUCACUCGAGUUAGGCUUUAGUUUGAGAUUGCGGGGAGAUUGUAUUACGUAAAAUGAAAAAAUACGAUAGAAAAAUAUCUUAUUUAUUUUCGUUCGUAAUAUUGCGUUCUGUUUAUCGCGAUGAGUCGGUUAUAAUAUAUUUCUGCAGUUCCACCGAAGAACACAGAAACAUAUCACUAUUUACUUUUGCCCCAAAUCUGUUUUAUCUAAUAGGUUCGAUAGGCUUCAAUACCAAACUCAGCUUUAUUCGAAACAAUGUAAUUAACUUCAACCCACUCCAUACUCAGGUCAAUUACGAAUAAUAAUAAUAUUAUUUUUAAUACUGGUUAUAAUUAAAUAUAUUUAAGUAUGGUAUUAAUUACUCUUUAAUUUAGUAUGCAUAUUUAAAAUAUGAUAAAAAUUAAUUAAUUAAGUUUCAGUGUUUUCUUUAUUUUAGUUUGUAGAUUUAAAAUAUGAUGAAAAUUGAUUAGUUAAGUAUUAAUUUUUUAUUACUUUGUAAUUUUGUUGUUGUAUUAUUAUAAUUUAUAUAUGUAUAAAAAAAUAAUUUAGUUAUUUUAGAUUAAUUUUUUAAUUAUAUAAAAAAAUAUUAUUUUUAUUUAUUAUAUUAUAAUUUAUUAUUUAUCAAGUUAUUUAUUAUUUAUACUACAUUAUUCAUUUCCUACCAAACAAACAGCAAAACUGAAGAAACUUCACUUUUAUAACAAUAAAACAAACAACGGAGGAGAAGUAGUUUUUACUUGAACUCCACUUCAACCCAAAAUCUACUUCACUCCAAAGUUCAGUUUCAGUGAAACAAAUAGGUCCUAAAUGGAUACAGUAUCAAAUACAGAUAUUAAAAAAGAAAACCUGACGGUUUGUAAUUCUCGUGUAGAUUUUGUCACUACCCGACCCAAAUCCAAACCCGAACUAUAAUUAAUUUUACAUUAUAUAAUAUAUAUAAACAUUUAAUGUUACAUUUAAAUUUGUAUUUAAAAAUAUAUUCUGAAAUAUGGUAAAGAGAAAUAAUUAAUCCGGGUUCAGAUUCGAGUUUCAGAUUUAUUGGUAGAUUCGAGAUUUGGAUAAAGAUUUUUAAAAUCCAUCAUAUUCGAGUUCGCGUUUGGGACUCUGAUUUCAAAUUUGGUAAUCGGAUUCGGCUUAGGUUUUAGAAAUCCUGUCCGAAUGUGUACUCGUUGACAUCCCUACGCACUAGAGGGAUGGGAGGUGUUUGGCGGGUAAAAAGUUCAGGAAGCUCUCCAACAAUACCUUGUUAGGAACUGGAAGCUCUUGAUCCGCUGCCACAUAUUACUUUAACCUCCACCCAAUGAUUUGUUAGGUAGUUUUUAAUAUUAAAACCUUCAAAAAACACUUAAAUCUUAUAGAUAAAGAUUAGGCUAAAUUACAGAAGCCCUCGUGUAAAUACACAUCUUUUUACUUUUCCUUUCAAACUUUUAAAAACUUUAUUUUAUUCCCUCAAUAUUUUAAAUUGUUGUAUUUAGGCCCCUUCAUAAGGGCUUCAUCACUAUUCCAUCAAUUUCUUAUAAUUUACUAAUUAAGUGUACGUACAAAUACAAGUAACAAUUAUUUUAAUUUAUUUUAAACCGAUAUAAAUUUGUAUAUUUAUAUUUAUUAUUUUAUUAGAAAAUAUUUGUAAUAUUCUAUUUUUUUAUAUACAUUAAAUAUUUUUAUAUAUUUUUUUAUUUCUGAUGAAUCUAAAAUUUAAGUAUGUGUUUUAAACUAAAAAUCAUCAAAAUUCACAUUUAUUUCAAAAUCCACUAUAACUAAAAUUUUUUAAUUGUUAAUUCAAAUUUGAUAUACAUUAAAGAGUCCGGCUACUAUGCUAUCGGUAGCAUGGAGCACUCCGUGCUACCAAGUUGUUUUCGAUGAUGCGGCUUCCAAAUCGACGAUCGGCUCCGUUAGACUUGAUCUACACUAUUGAAAGUAUUUGGAAACUAAAUUUCAGAUUUUUUUGACAUCAUUUGAUUAGUGAUCAAAAGAUCUCAAAAUUGACAAUUUUAAUGGCCGAUGUGGUGUGUUUGUGAGUUUAACGGUGUAAAACAAUCCAAAUGCGAUGAAAAUUUUAUAGAAAAUUCUUUUCACUAUUUAGAGUAAGAUCAGUAUAUCUGAUCUUGAAUUUAAAUCUUUUAUCAUCAUUUUUCAUGAGAUUUUUAUUUUCAGCCGUUCAAUUUUAGACUACUUGUUUGAUAGGUAAAUGAUAUCGAAAAAUUAUGAAAUUUAGUUUCUAAAUACUUUCAAUAGUGUAAAUCAAGUCUAACAGAGCCGAUCGUCAAUUUGGAAGCCGCAUCAUCGAAAACAACUUGGUAGCACGGAGCGCUCCGUGCUUCCGAUAGUAUAGUAGCCUAGUUCUAAAUUAAAUAUUUUUUAUAUAUUUUUCGAUUUUUAAUGAAUCUAAAAUUUAAGUAUGUGUUUUAAACCAAAAGCAUUAAAAUUUAACUCACAUUUAUUUAAAAAUUUAAAAUUUAAUUUUGAUCACUAUAAUUAAAAAUUUUUAAUUGUUAAUUCAAAUUUGAUAUCAAAAAUUAAAUUCAAUUCAUUAUUUCCACUCAAAUUCAAAUUUUAAUGUAAAAUAGAUGAAUAGAAAUGCUAUUUUUUAACAGAUUGAUCAUAACUAUUCAUUUUAUUUGAAAUAUUUUCAACAAAUUGAUUAUAACUGUUUGUAGAAUUGGAUUUAUAGAUGUAUAUGAAUGUUAUUUUUUAAUAGAUUGAUCGUAACCGUUUAUUUUUAUUUGAGAUAUUUUUUAACACAUUGAUCAUAAUCAUUUGUAGAGAAUAUUCGCUUUUUUUUUUUAUUCUGUUUGUUAGUUUUAUAUGCUUUUAUAUAUAAUAUAAAUAUAGAUUGUCCUUAAAAAUGAUAGAAAUAUAUUAAAAAUAUUAUCUUUUUCUUAUAGAAGAAGUAAAGAUAAUUUGAUCAUUUUACUCUCUUCAUUAAUGUCGUAACCUCCCGAAACAUUUCUAAAAUUUUAAAAGGGCAAAAUGUAGUUUUAUAAAAGUUAGAAAGAAAAAGUAAAAAAAUGAUAUUUACGUUGAACUUUUUGUAUUUUAGCCAAAAAAAAUAUAAUUUUUGGAGCAUUGUUGGGGAGUCACUACUGAAGGUUUUUUCCUUGCUGGGCCCAGUUUUAGAAAGUAAUUUUAGAGCCAAAAAUAAGUUUUUCUUUUAAUAAAAUAUUUGGUAAUCUAUUUUAUGAAAAAUCUGAUUUUGAUUUUACACUUAAAUUUUUAAUUUUAGAGGUUUCAAAAUUAGAAGCAGCUAAAACUUGCUUACUAAAAUAUUAUUCUGAUUUUAGAUUUAAAUUUUAGAUUUAAUUUUCAUUUUGAAUGAAACUUUAAAUUGAAAUUCAGGUUUUUAGAUUUUAACUUUUUAAAUUUUAAAUUUUAAAUUCACAAUUUAAAAUUUAAAAAUUACUUCACAAAAAUUUAAAACAAUUUUAGAAAAUUAUUUUUCUGUCAGACUUAAGUUGACUAUCUAACAUUUCAAUUCGUUAAUUUGAGCCGGUUAAUAACUUUUUAACUUCAAAUUUUAAAUAUGUUACUUAUCUUUACAAGCUUAAUUAACUAACAUAUUUUAUAUAAUUUACAUAUCUAUAAAUUCAUUAAAGUAAAACUAAGCUUAAAUGUAAAACUAAGCUGAAAGAGCUAUUAAAUGACUUAAAUCAAAUAAACUAAAAAGUUGGUUACUAAACUCAAAAUUUUGAAAGAUUAGGCAGUCAAAUCAAAAUGUUCUAUAGUUCAAAUAAGUUCAAUAAAUUUUUGUAUUAAAAAAAAUUAUAAAUUACCGGGGCGCAAAUUUUCUGUAUUCCUUGUGUACGGGGAUGAAUUUUGUCGUUGAUGAGCGGUUAGAUAAUUUCUGCACGUACGGAGUUGUAUCUAAAGCGUAUAGAAAAUUCAGAACAUGUUUACCCAUUUAUACUUCUGCUUUCAGUUUCAAUGUUUAUUUGUAGAAUAUAUUUCAAAUUAAAAAUCAGCAGCUUUGCUGUAUUGAUAUUUGGCAUUGUGGCCCUCAAAUUUUUUUAAAUUUUUAUAUAAUAGAAUUUAUAUAUGAAAUUAUAUAAGAAGAGACAGUGUGCUGGCUCAAAAAGGUCAUCCUAUCUUGUUGCAGGAAUCCAGGUUGGGCCAUGUUCGAAAUGGUGGGAGAUCGGGUUAGACAGAAUGAUGCUUGAAGUGCCUUGAGAUUGGUUGGGCCGGGUCACAAUUGAGACCCGUAGGCAGUGUGUCUAUGCGCUUUAAGUGAAUUGAUUUUUUAUUUCUAACCGCUCGAGUUUUUGAGACUAAUGGUUAACACCAAGUUCGAAUCCUAGUUGAUUUACACUUCUAGCUACGUUUAUUUCUAAAUGAAAUAAACGAACCGGGUAGCGUGCUAACUAUUUCUCAAAAAAAAAAAAAAACUAACAAGUGGUACGAGAGUCAAAAGUCACGUAUUCGAUUUUCGCAUAGUACGAAAUUGUCCGGAUACUGGAAGGAGGAUUGUGGUGUUGAAACUAGUUAAGACGAAUCACAAUCGAGACUCAUAGGUACUGUAUUUGUACACUUUAAAUCAACUGAUUUGACUACGUAUUUCUAACACUUCAACCUUUGAAGAUUAAUAUUAACAUCAACAAUCUAACACCGUGGGCUACUUGUAAUCUCGGUAAAUGAAUAGUAAAACUUGAUGGCAAUUGUCUUUUUACGUCCAAAUUCUCUUUAAACAAGUUGGCAUCAAUCAUUUGGUCGAAAUGCAUUGUAAGUUAACCAAUAAUAACAACAAAAGAAAGAAAAAAAUCUAUCUAUAUUUCAAAUGAUAUUAAACUUACUAAUAUUUUUUCUAUCUAUAUUUCAAAUGAUAUUAAACUUACUAAUAUUUUUUUUAGAAAAAAAAUAGGCAACGAUACCAAAUGAAGCCUUAAUUUUUUAGUCGAUGCGAAAAGUCGCCAAUUUGCAAAUUUUUAAAUUAGAUUAGGAUAUAGUAGACUAUUUAAUUAAUUUUUCUAAUACUAAAAAGGCAUCAAAUGAUUCAAAUCAAGUGAAUUGUAAAAUUAGAUUAAAAAAGGUUCGAUAAAUCCACUGUGAUAUCUUAUGAGUUCGAAAUCUUCCGACUAAAAAAAAAAAAAAACNAAAAAAAAAAAAAAAUCAGCCUUCUAAAGCUUAGAUAAUUCUUUCGAAAUGGUACCAAACAUUUUUGCCAAGAUGAUUUUUUCACAAUCAACCACAUAACCAUGUAAUUAUCCCAGAAUUUUCAAACAUAUAUUCAGCAUAAGGAUAAUCCAUCACAAUCUCCACAAUUUCAAUAUCACAUCACAAAAUCAACUAAUUCACAUGAUCAAAACAACUCUCUCUAUAUACAAGGGCAAGAAUCGCGAAUUUGUCAUGUAUUUUUUUUAUUUUUUUUCUUCUAAAAGGUGAAUUUGUUGUCAUGAGAUAUUUAAGUUAAAACAUUCACAAAACUUUCCAAGCAGAAGCUGCAGAACAAACUAAAUUUUUUUCCCCCUCUUGUUAUAUUUACAGUAGGAUCAUCUUCUAGCUCCUCGGCAUUGUGGCUAAUUGUGGAAACCGAUUUUCGCCGACAUCCUCCGAAAUCUGCCCUGACUCGAAUCCAAACUGCAAAUUUGCAGCAGUAUCAGAAAAAGAAGAGGAAAAAGAAUUUUGUGUUACGAAUCUUUGAAGAAAAAGAAACAAAAUCUUAUAAGAUUUGAUCAUUACUUCCGUUUAAACAGUAACAUGACUACCACUAUAAGAAAUUUAAGUCAUAGUUUAGUUGAAUCAAACUGACGAAACAAAUUGUAUGUUCAGAAUUUGCCAACUAUCACUGAAUUAAAAUAGAGUACAAAAUUUGGAUACCUUCUGCCUAAUCUGUGAAAUCAGCGAAUCGUCGCUAAUCCUUCGAUCGAUAGAAGUUGAAGCGUCAGGACGUGGACCGAGCAGUGGUUUUCUCGAAACAGGGAUAUCUUCGUUGCUUUCGUCCUCCAGCCUCCUCGGCAGAACCAUGUUUCUCAAUAGCAUUGCCAGCACAAGCGAAAGCGCCUACAUCGAAUAAGAAUGAUUUUUUCUGCUUUCAAUAUAGAAGGAAAAGAUUACAACAGAAGCAGUUUAUAAUUUCAUAAUUUAAUCCAAUCGCAAUUACAAGAUAUCAUCAACAAUUUAAUCUGUGAUCCUAAAGUUGAUCAUGAAAUAAUAAUGAAAGUAGAAGUGUAGACAUACUAACUAUAAGGGUAUUUUUCUCACAGUUUCUUAACUUUAGCUUGUUUGGUUGUAAAACAAUAGAAAAAAGUGAGACUUUUCAGAAGUGCUACUUUUGAGAAAAUAGGUACAUAAAAAGUGAGCUUCGCUUGUUUGGUCGUCUAAUAAGUGGUUAACAGAAUUUCAAACUUUUCUGACUUCUUAUGUUUGGGUAUGGGUGGGUAAGUGUGGGGUGUUGGGGUAGAUAGAGAAAGAACCUUGAUUAGAUCGGGCGGCAGAAGAAAGUUGAUGCUGUAGGGCGAAAGAAGAAAGUUGAUGCGGCGGGUGUUGGGGAAAUAUGAAUGGAGAUCAAGCAAAUUAUGGUCUUGAGGUGUGUAAGUUCACUUUCUUUAAGGUGUUAUUUGCCCCCACUUGAAUGUAUGCUGUUGGGUUACCAGCAAAUCACCUUCAGGAUACAACAAGACCGUUGAAAGACUGCAAACAGCACUUUUGAAGACUUUCCCUUAAGAACUUCUCUCUUAAGCAUCAAUAUAAAAAAUUAGGAAGGAGAAAGGAUUGAAUAUGUUGCCCUUGAAGCCUUCAAACAUCUCUUAUUUAUAGGAGGUGAAUGGUUACGAUGAAAGGACACAANGUUGGGUUACCAGCAAAUCACCUUCAGGAUACAACAAGACCGUUGAAAGACUGCAAACAGCACUUUUGAAGACUUUCCCUUAAGAACUUCUCUCUUAAUAAUCAAUAUAAAAAAAUUAGAAAGAAGAAAGAUUAAUUGUGUUAUCCUUCAAGUUUUCAAAUAUCUCCUAUUUAUAGGAGGUGAAUGGUUACGAUGAAAGGACACAAUUUUUAAAGUUAUAUCCUUUCACAAAAGGACACGUUCUUUCACGAAUAACGAAAAGACAUACUCUUUCACAAAAGGUUCAUAUCUAUUCGUGAAUAAACAUAUCUCUUUGUGAAGAGACAUAUCUUUAUAUUAAAUGAAGAGACGAAUCCUUUCAUAAGAAUAACUACUUUAUGAACAGACACAACUAUUCACCAAUCUCACUUCCACUAUUACAAUCUACACUAACAGCGGGGAGGAGGUAAUAAAAACAGGACGGAAGAAAAAAGUUGAUGCAGUGAGACAGAGGUAAUAAAAAUUGGCGUGAGGGAGGGAACAUCGGAAUAAUCGCGCGGGGGGAGGGAAAUAAAGAAAGU